rnacentral:lncRNA from 1 species
GCUUUUACUCUUUUUUCCUCCCUCUCCUCUGCUGACAGUUUCACUUCGCCUUCCUCGUUAGUCACAUUAGCUUCCUGUUCUUCUCUUUCCCCUCGCUCAAACUCUUCCUGACAUUUGUUUAGAAGUAACCUCUUAAAAGUGAUUUUUUCUUUGUCUACACUCAGAUCAGGCAACUCGGCUGCUAGGUGCUGACAAAAGUUGGCAUACAUCUCACAAAAAGUUGGCUCCAUCAAAGCUUUAUCAAAUAUCUGAGAGAUUACACCAUUGAGUGUCACAACAUUGUCAAUAUUGACUUCUUUCACUUGCUGGAAUAAUUUUUCAAAGUUCUGUGGAGUUAGCUUAUUUAAGAUAGCCUUCAGCUGUCUCUGCUUGGCUUGUUCCUCGUCUGUUACUUUACCUACUUCAUACUUUAUUUCAGCUUUGUGCAUAAUCUGUGCAGGUGUCUGAGGAGAUGGCAUUAAACCCUUUUGGAAAGCAGUUCCACGCUGCCACCUGUCCGCAUCUACUCCAUUUCUCAAGGCUCCUCCAUGAGGACCCAUGGAUUGCAUUGGUCCAGCUAGUAUACCCCCAACAAACUGACCCCCGGUAUACUGGAUGGGCAUGGGAGCUCGAGGGUUCCGCAAAACACCAUAAUUGCCUCCUGGACCAGGUCGAUAUCCCAUAGCAUUUCCCCCAAAAGCAAGGUCUGGCUGAAAAUCCCUCCCAGGCAUAACAGGCCCAGAUGUUUUACUCCAUUUAUCUCCAUCCCCAAUGCCACUUCCGCGACGUUCACGAUGUCCACUAGAUGGCCUAUCAAUACCUCUUCCAGGACUAGGGCCCGGCUCACGGGAAACACUGGAGUUAGCAUUUAUCAAAAUAUCAGCUAUAUCAGGAGCAACAUUAAAACCCUCAGGAAUAUCAAUGCAUUGCUCUGCAAAUUUAAGCAAGAAAUCUCUUGAAUAUUUCUUCAUAGUCACACCAUCACCAUCUUCACCAUCAACUUUCUUUCCAUGUCCUGGAGCAGCUUCUAGUUUAGGAGUAGAUGCAUCUGCAGCAUCCUCCCAAUCAUCUGGCUCUGCUUUAACCUCACUAACCUUCUUAGUUGAUAUAAGAUCUUCUAGAGGCACAUCGGCGGAUAGAGGCUUUGAGUUAUCGCUUUCACUGGUUUCGAUAGAUUGUGUAAGUUCUUCCUUUUUCUCUGGACCUUUAUACGCCAUAUAAAGAUCAGAAGUCGCACCAGCAGCAUCUGCCUUCUUAUAUAAGUCUUUUUUCUUCUUUUUCCCCCUAGCCACAGUAACCUUAGGCACAUUGGACUCCACCAAAGAUUUUUCCUUGACACCAGAUGACGACUUAGAAACUAAACCGGUGUUAUUAGUUUCAGUACUUUCAUCUUCGCUCUUUGAAGUGGCCUCAUCAGAAUUCUUCACCAAAUUAGAGGCAAAUUCCUGACUUGCAACAACCGAUUUUGUAACAACAGGUUCUUCGGUGUCAGCAAUAUCUGGUUCCUGAUCAUCUUGAGCCGAUAGACCUAUUGCUGACGUGCACGCCUCAGUACUUGUGGAAUCCUGGUUAGAAGUGGAUGAUGUAAUGCUAUCAGCAAUGUUAUCAACUCCAGUUGGACAAGAUACAGAUUCAUACAUGUCUUCCGCUCCAAUUUCUGGUCGACCAUUCUCAAUGUUGACAUUUGUUGCUCUCUUUGGAGACCCCUCUUCAGUUAGGCCAGAAAACUCAACAGAUUCUACCGGAAGAGAUUCUGAAGAUGGCUUCAAGCUAUUAUUCUGGUCCUGCUUGCCAACUUCGGGCAAUGAUACAUCAUUUCUAUCCCCAGUUUUAAGUACUGGUUUGCCCGCUUCCUGAUUUUUGGAAUCCAAAGGUUCAGAUGAAUCUACCUUUUUGUGACUUUUCAAUUCAGUGGACUCUGAUGAAGAGAGACUUUCCUUGGUGUUCACAGCAGUGCGCGCUGAAGCAGCACUAUUGACCUCAACAGGUCUGGUUAGGGGAUACUGGAAAGGCUGACUUGAAACAGACGUCGAUUUCCCAAGAGCCUGCAAAGAACUUUCAGUCAUAAGUAGGACCAAGAUAGUACAGUGUUGCGACUAUUCAAAAAGAAUGCAAACAAAAUACCUUAUCCUGAAGAGUCAACUGUCCGCUAGUUACUUGUUUUUUCUGUUGAACUUCAGUGGAUUCCAGGACAACAAGUGUUUCACUUGCUGCAUCUACACUACUAUCUUUACUUAGAGAUGUUGAGGAUUCGAUAGGAGCCUGAGAGGUCAAUGCCAAUAUGCCAGCUGCUGGGCUCUUCCCUGAGAUAGAAUCAGCUCCUUUAGUAGAUUGUAUAUUUUCUACCGGCCUUGAAGCAGACUUUGAGCCAUCACCAGUCUUUGACUGUGUGGUGGAGCUCUGAUGUGAAGUGUCUGCGUCUUUUUGAGAGAGAGCUGAAUCUCCUCCAUGUGGCUUUGAGAGCCUCACAGGAUCUUUUCCAAAAGCAGCAGAACUGACAGAUUGUAAUUGUUCUUUUGCUGGAUGUGUUCCUGCAGCAGCCGGUUUCACUGUCACCUAAAGUUGAUUUGCAUGAACAAAAUAGCAUUACAUUGUGAGCAUACAUGAAAAUUUAAUUGCAGGCAAUAGAACUCUUAGGUACUGAUUUCAAUGAUAAUCAUAAAGAAAAAUGAGAUAGAAAAGUCCAUGCAGGAUUGGGCCUUGACUAACCUGACUAAAAAGCCUUGGUGGCUGAGAACUCUGACUGUUACCAAGAGGAAGAGAAUUUGGAGCUUGGAAGAAAACGGAACUGGAAUUAUAAGAGUUAGUAUAAUAGUUAGGAUGACCGGGAGGAUAUGGCGCAAUAGGCUGUGAUUGAGGUGGCAUAUUAGGGUGUGACCUCGAACCAGGAGUCCCAUCAAGCCUCAAUUCUUCAUGAGUAUCCGGAUGAGUUAUCUUCACAGUUUUACGCUGACCUGGAAACUUCCCUGCCUGCUGCGGAGAAAACUGUGACUGCAUAUUCAUUGCCAUGUUGCCCAACUGCGGAGGGAUCUGCGGCCCCAUUCCUGAUGAAAAAUUCAGGCCCUGCCCCUGAUGCAUCAUGCCUUGAGACUGCAUUGGGUGGGGUUGAAGACCUGAGACAAACAUUGGCUGCUGCAUCGGCGGAUUGCCAAUAGGCAAAUGCAUCGGCAUUGGUAAUGACGUAGCAGACAUCGAGUGGGAUGGAAUAUGUGGUCCAGGUCCACCAAAUGGAACAGGAACUUGUGGUGGCUGGUGAUAUGGAAUUGCCAUGUGCAUUCCAGGCAUGGGAUGUGUAGAAGGCUUUUGUGUUUGAGUAACAGGGGGCGGAGCUGAAAUUUGUACAUCUCUUUUGGGCUUGCUGGCCACCCCAUGAGCCUCGCUAGGAUUAGGUUGAUCAAGCGGUCCUGCAUCCUUUCUUGGCAUAGGCUGCUUGGAAGUGGAUGGAUUUGGCAAUGAAGGAAUAGCUCUUGAAGUGUCACCGCGAGCCUGUCAAAUAAAUGGAGAAGGAAUCAGAGCCAUAAGCUACUCAGCAGCCCAUGACUAAGAUUAUUCCCGUGGGCGAGAAUAACAUCACAACAUUCCAACAAAAACAAAGAAGCUAGAUGACAAGCUCCAUUAAUCAGAUCAGGAAUCAGAAAAUUCACAAUAAGACAAAUGAAGAAUAAAUGAAAACCUGGGCUCUUUUCUGCUCGUCCAGAUUUGGUGGAGCUGAGCUUGUUCGCGCAGGUAUCUAUACACAUUGUAAAAGCAAAUACGUUCCGUUAUUAAGAUGCAAGUUUUCAAAUUAACCACACACAAGAGAACACCAUACGUGGUAGAGUCUAGAGAUACCUGCAGUACACUCAUGACACCGGGACUUAUGGAUCCAAAUUGAAGUGGAAAUGACCUAGAUGCAUCUCCUGGGUCUAGAAAAUUAGAAAGUAAUAUCAUUCAAUAGUUGGAACUGCAACUAUAACAGAGAUAGAAUACAUAAGAAGUACCAAUAUUACUACCCGCUAUCCCCCGCCCCAAAAAAGAAGUACAAGUAGAUAUAGAAAGACUAAGAAAGAUACUCUUUGCAGGAGUGACAGGCGCAGUCGACUCAGAUGUCGGAGCGACAACAUUAGAAGUUGGAGCUCUUGGCACUGCUCGCGUAACCUUCUGAGUCGAAGCAUCAGUUGGCUUAACAGUAGCAUUUGGUAGAGGUGCAGCAUGUGCACUAGCAACAGAUACAUCUGAUGCUCCUGCAACAACAUAAAGUCAACUACAUUACUUAACUGAAGCUGAAAUAAAACAAAAACACCAAUAAUACAACAUGUUACACCACAUUAUACAAAAUCAUCACAAAUUCGUAAACUUCAAAACCUACAUAACCCAUCUCAGCGUAAUACACACGCAAAAAGAGUACCGUCGAUUAACAUACCGCGCAACGGUUGUUGCUGAUGAGCACCAUUCUGAUGAGAAUCCGACCCAACACUCGCAACUGCAACUGCAACUGCACCAGCGCCACUUACCCUAGGUUGCCCUCCUUGAGCAUUAUUGUACUUCUUGUUGAAACUAAAAAAUCAACCAAACAACAAUGAAUAUCCAACCAAAACCCUAAUUUCAUAGAAUAACCCUUAAACAGCAAGCAAAAAAACUCACCUUCUAUUAGAAGUCAAAGAUGGAUUACCGGAGGUGGAAGACGAAACAGGAGGAGGGGCGGCACCUCCACCACCACCACCACCACCACUUCCUCUCCCGCCGCCGCGGUGCUGAUUAUAGCUACCGGAUCGGCCUCCGGCUCUCCUAUACUGUGACGACGACUCGCGCGUAUCAGCCCUUGAUUGAUUAUGGGACAUAUAUCCAAACCCUCAAAAUCCGCUUUUGCUCUAUAAUAUGUUCCAAUCAAUAUCCUACAGAUCCACCAAAUCAAUCCAAAGAACCAAAACAAUAAAAAUCAAAACUUUCAUCAAAAAAAAAAAAAAAAAAAUCCCCAAUAACAAAAUCAAACAAACCCACUUCAAUCAACAAACCCGAUUCACGAAAUUCUCACCCGACCCGACCCACACACUUAACAUAACAAACCCUAGAAACAGUGCGUACUAAUUACCUGAAAAUGGGAAGUGAUGAAAUUAGGGUUUCAAUGAGAGUGGCGAUUGGUGGACACCAUGAGCAACAGGAGAAGAAGAAUUGAAUGAGAGAAAAAGAGAAAAGGGAUGCGUGUUGUAUUGUGAGCGUCUGUUUAUGUGUGUGUGUGUGUGUUGUUGGUUAAGGGAAAAAUAUGUUUUAUGUUUAUUAGAGAGAGAGAGAAUCUACUCAUAUAAAUCAAUUAUUUAUGACUAAUAAUAUAUACACACUAACCAUUGAGUAAAAUAUGUAACCAAAAAUGGAAUAUUUAUAUAAAUCUGUUUUUUUCCUACUUCUUUUGGUAACAAUAACAAAAUUAGAUUUUGACCCAAAUAGAGUGAAAUUGGGAUGAAUAUAUAUAUCACAGAAAAAAUAUUUACUUACGCUCGAUAUUUAUGACUAAUAUAUAUACACACUAACCAUUGAGAAAAAUAUGUAACCAAAAAUGGAAUAUUUAUAUAAAUCUUUUUUUUUCCUACUUCUUUUGGUAACAAUAACAAAAUUAGAUUUUGACCCAAAUAGGAUGAAAUUGGGAUGAAUAUAUAUAUCACAGGAAAAAUAUUUACUUACGCUCGAUAUUUAUACUAAGCAACUAAAUUUUUCUUCGAAAAUAAUAUUUUUAUCUUCAUAAGAUAGAGAUAAGAUUGUGUACUGAUCCAAAGGGGGUGAAAUUAGUGAAAAUAUAUAUCGCGCAAUAUAGAAAAAUAUUUACUUAGAGAUGAUACAUAUGUUAAGCAACUCAGUUUUUUUCGAAAACACUAUUUUUAUGUUCACAAGAAAAGGUAAAGUUGUGUAUUGAUCCAAGUAGGGUGAAAUUGGAGAAAAUAUAUAUCACGCGAUAUAGAAAAAUAUUUACUUAGAGAUAUGUUAAGCAACUCAGUUUUUUGCGGAACCAAUAUUUUUGUGUUCAUACGAAAGAGAUAAGGUUUGUGUAUUGACCUAAGUAGGAUGAAAGUGGAAAGAAUAUUUAUCACACACUAUAGGAAAAUAUUUACUUACACGCAAUAUUUAUAUUAAGUAGCUGAGUUUUUCUUUUAAAAAUAGCAUUAUUAUCUUAAUAAGAUAGAAAUAAGGUUGUGUAUUGACAUAAUUAUGGUGAAAUUGGGAAAAUACUUAUCAUACAGUACAAUAAAAAUAUUUAUUUACAUACGAUAUUUAUAUUAAUAACUUUUCUUUCGAAAACUAACAUUUCUAUCUUUAUAAGGUAGCGAUAAAAUUGUGUACACAUCACUUUCGCAAUCUCACUUAUGUAAUUAUAAUUGAUAGGUUAUUAUUUGUUAUUAGGAGGGUGAAAUCAAAAAAACAUUUGUAACACAAUAUAGGAAAAAUAUUUACUCAUAGGCAAUAUUUAUAUUGGAUGGACCUAAGUAGGGUGGAAUUGGGAAAAAUACUUAUCACACAGUACGAGAAAAAAAUUUAAUUACACGCAAUAUUUAUAUUAAGUAGCUAAUUUUCUUCCAAAAACAACAUUUUUAUCUUCAGAAGAUAGAGAUAAUAUUGUAUGCACGUCACUUUUUAAAUAUUUUACUUGUGAAAUUAUACUUAAUAUAUUAUUAUUUAUUGAUAAGUUAAAAUUGAUAAAAUUACUUAUCACGUAGUAUAAGAAAAUAAUUUACUCAACAAGCGACAAUCAUAUUAGAUUGACCUAAAUAGGAUGAAAUUGAGAAAACUAUUUAUCACACUACAUAAGAAAAAUAUAAACUUACAUUUGAUAUUUAUAUUAAGUAACUAGAUUUUUCUUUUGACAUCUUUAUUUUCAUAAGAUAAAGAGAAGAUUGCGUAUAUAUCACUAUCCUAAGACCUCACUUGUAAAAAUAUACGAAUUAGUUAUUAUUAUUUGUUUGUUAGCUAAUUCUCUUUCAACAAGUGUCGUGAAAAAAGUAACAUGUGUUACCACUAAUAGUAAUUUGUCCAAUGCGUUAUUUAAUUAAAAUUUAGGAUGACAGAAAAAGAAGAUAAAGGAAACUAUAGAAAGGCAAAAGUUACAAAAUGUCCUUCUCUUGUGUGGUUUAUCAUGGUAAAGAAGUUAUUUUACUCACACUAGUUUGUAUUAAGUAGAUGAAUUUUUCUUUUGAAAACAAUAUAUAUUUUCAUAAGCUUAUUUCCCCCCCCCCCCCCCAACCAUCCAAUAAAAUUAAAAUUAUUUCGUAAAAUAGAAAUUGUGUAUAUGAAAUACUUUCAAAACCUCACUUAUGAGAUUAUGCGAGAUAUAUUAUUAUUUAUUUGUUAACUGAUUUUUCUUGUCAUACCUAUUAUAAAAAAUGUGACACGAAUUUCCACUUAGUAAUAAUUUGUCUAAAGUGAUAUUUAAUUAAAAAUUAGAAUGAAAAAUAAAAGAACAGGGUAAACAACAGAAAAAUAAAAAUCACAAAAGUUCCUUUUCUUAUUUGAUUAUCACGGCAUAGAAAAAUAUUUACUCAGACAAGAUAUUUAUUGAAAUAAUAGUCUGAAAAAUAUUUGUACUUUGCCUAAAUUUACAGUUGCGCAUACUGAACUUUACGGAAUCCUAUUACCCCUUGAAUUAUUUUAAAAUGAAUUUAUUACACCCUUAAAGGCUUAUGUGGCAAUGAGAGUGAGUAACUCACUUUCUUUGAGAGAGUGAGUCAUCUGAAAAUAUUUAAAAUAAAAAAUACAUUUUUUAAAUAUAAAUAUAACCACCAUCCAACCAAUGCAGCUGUACAACCACCACCAUAUCCAUCAAUUGUCCACUUCUUCAUUUUCCUCCAUUUUUUCCAUCUCAUUUUCAAUCGAAUUUCUUUGAUCAAUUUGAUUUACAAUCACCCGAACAUCAUCUCCAAUCAAAUUAAUCAAAAAAUUGCAAUUGGAUGAAUUAUGUUCAUUUUCUAAAGGGACCUUUGACUUACCAGCAUUUCCAACAUCAUUUUCGAUUAAAAUUUGCUGGGAAUUUUGAAUCAAAGCCGACAAAUUAUCAAUUUCCUUUAAAUUCACCGAAUUAGGGCUAAAAUUCUUAAAUUUAAAAUUGAAAUCAAUGGGAAUUGUAAUAAUUGGGGCUUUUGCCAUAGAAUUAUUCUCUGCAUCCCCAACUAUCAAUUUACGUUGAGAAUUUGCAAUUUCAUCGGAACCUUGCAAGUCAUCGAAAUUUUGAGCUUUUCCGACAAUGUUGACAGUAUUACCAGUGUUAUUUUUGCCAGAGAUUCGAUGGGUAUGCGCGGAAUGAUCUCCAUUAUUAAUUUCUACACUUGCAUGCUCUCGAAUUUAUGCUGAAGAUAGUCGAAUUUCAAAUCGGACCACUAGCGAUGUUGUCGCACCAAUUUCCAAUUCACCACUUGUAAUGGCCUCAACCGACUCACUGGAAUCAUUUGGAAUUUGAUUUGUAGGAUAAUAAUGGAGAAGAAAUUAAAUGAAAAAUGAUUUGUAAUAUAAAAUACAUGUGUAAAUAUGAGAUUGGCGCGUGUAUUACACCUUUUACUCCAAAAUUGGGUAUAGCAUUUCGGGGGAAGAGAAGGAAUUAAUUCCAUUUUUAAAUAGUUCAGGGUAAUAGGAUCCCCGCAAAGUUCAGUAUGCACAACUACAAAUUUAGGCAAAGUAUAGGUAUUUUUCAUACUAUUAUCCCAUAUUUAAUUAGUAGGUGUUUGGUCAUGAAAAAAAAAUUAGAGUUGAAGUUUAAGCUGGAAUUUAGAGUUGUUUUUUACCAUGAAUAUAAAUUGGAGUUGCUUUUGACUUUUUGUGAGAGAAGUCAAAGUGAAAAAAGUGAAAACAGGUUAACUUAGUUUCACUUUUUCAUAUACAAUUUCAAAAUGUAUUUAAAAUUCUUAUGGCCAAACAUUACAAUUUUCACUAAAGUAAACUAAUUUUCUAAAAAAAGUAGAAAAUUCUCAUGGCUAAAUACACUCUUAUAUUAAGUAGCUUAUUUUAUUUUUAUUUUGUGUAAAUAUUAUUCUUAUCUUCAUAAGACAGGGGUUGGGGUGUUCAUGACUUGAUUUGAAUCAAUUUUUGACUAAAAUCAAAGCCAAAUCUAUUUAGUUAGUUUUAAAUUUUAUAAAUUCAAACCAAAUAAAAUAAAAAAUCAUUGGUUUGAUUCUUGUCGAAUUUAUUUGAUGUAGUUUUUUUUUUUAAUAAUUAGUUAACAAUAAAUUGAUAACAACAAAUUAAUGAAGACGUGGCAUAAUUAUUUCAAAUGAGCAUUAUGAAUCAAUAAAUUUCUCUCUGCUAUCUUAAGAUGGAUGUAUAUGAGUACUCUCCUAUUGUCAUUCACACCAUUUCACAGUUUUUUUUUUUCAAGUUUAAAUUGCAUAACUGUAAAGGUUACACCACUUCACAUAUAUAACAUUAGCAAAAGCAGUACCUCUAUCGCGACCUUGUUACUUUAUAUGUUACAAGACUGGUCCCAAAUUCUAGUUGGUUGCACAGAUCCUUCGUUUUUCUUAUUCAAAAUAAAAUUCGUUAAAAAUUUAAGUGAUAAGUCAUUGAAGGAUAGAUGAAUGUUUCGAUAAAGAAAAUUAGAAAGCCACAAUAUAUCACACCACAUAUAGACAAUUAGACUUAUAAUGAUUGGUAUAAUCAUAUUUUUUAGAAAUAUAAUUUAAAAGUUUCAUAGUGCAUGUGAAGAAAGUGGGUUAAAAUCAAAUUAAUGAUUAAAACGCAUAAAAUAUUUAUAAUUAUUUAUUAAAAAAUACUAUCAUAUACUCAAAUGAUUAUAAAAUUAUAUAUGUAAAUUUAUCAAGUUUAUUCAGUAUUUUAUUUUACUUUCUUAGUAAAAUCAAACUAAAAUCAAAUUUUGUUGAUUUGUAAAAUUUAAAAUCAAAUCACAUGUCAUUUUUUUUAAUCAAUUUAAUUUAUUUACUUUGUGAUUUGAUUUAAUGUUUUAUCAAAUCAUGUACACCCGUAGACAUAGGUAAGAUUGUGCGCACAUCGUUAUUCUAAGACAUUAAUUAUAAAAUUGCAGAUGAAAUAUAAUAUUAUUUGUUUCUUAUUUAAUUUUUAUUUCAAUAGGUAUCGUGAAAAUUGUAAUCGAUUAACUAAUAAUAAUAAUUUGUCUAGUGAGUUCUAUGAUUAUUCAUGUCUUAGUUGAAUUCUUUCAUUGUGUGCGGUGAAAAUUGUGACAUGUGUUACUAUUAAUUAUAGUUUUCUAAUGAAUUAUAUCUUAUUAUUUGUUUGUUAGUUGAUUUUUCUUUCAUUUAUGUGUCAUAAAAAUUGUGACAUGUGUUACAAUUAAUGAUAAUUUGUCUAACACAUUGUUUAUUUUAAAAUUGAAAUGACAAAAGAAAAGGAAAAGCAUAGAGAAAGGUUAAAAAAAAAAGAAUUUUUUCUUCCUUAUUUGACUUAUUACGGCAGAGUAAAACAUUUAUUCACACUUAAUAUUUAUAUUAAUUUUUUGACACGUGCAUUGCACAUUUAUUAUUUAUAUCGUUGUACUUGUACACCUAUACUUUAGAGGUUCUACCUUUUCUUUCGUGGUAAAAACUUAAUCUAAAUCAACUGUUGUAAGGUGUUUUUGAUAUUUAAUACUGUUAUUUGUUGUUAUCAUUUGUACAUCAUAAAUACAAGUUUUAACAACCUAAUUUCACUUAUUUAAUAACCUCACCAUUUCAGUUUAUUGUAUAGUUAGAGUUCCAAUUUCGUAAGAAUAUUUUUGUAUUUGAAUUAGAAUGAAUAAGACAACUUAUUUAUGUUAUUAUUAUCUUUUCUUUAUUCCUAUAAAAGUCAAUUAGCAAAAGAUUUUGGUUCUGAAAUCUUCGAUUUCACCAAGAUAAACAUAGUGUUUUUAAUCUUUCGGUAAACUUGUUUUUAGCUUUUCCGAUCUCAUAUCUCACAUUUGGAAGUUCUCUUGCUUGGCCGAAACUUUUUUACGAUAGCUUUGUGAUAACAUUUUGAUUUCUUGAUGGUGUUUUCACUAGAAUUUUAAAAUAUCAAAUUUAAAUAUACAUUAGUCAGGAUAAGAGUAAAAGAUGUCAAUCGAAAGGUUUGGAUUUCUCAAAUAAAAUUAAUGGAGAAAAUUGACAAAUAUUAAUAUAGUUUAAACUAUACAACAAUGCAGGGAGUCGAUAAAACACUUAUAGAUAUUCUUAAAUUUUUAAAAUACUUCACAUUAGUAUAAAUUUCAGAUAAAAUAUUCGUGCUUUAAAAAAGAUAUUAUUUGACCCGACCGAUUGAGUUGCAAUUCCUUCCCCACUUUGAAUUGAAAAGUUAAAGCGAACGAUUUAAAUCCAUUAUUUCUAUAGUUCGCCUACAAAUAGAACUAAUUGAAUUGAAAAAGUGGUCAUAAUUUAUUAGUUCAAUUUAGUUAAUUUUAAAAUUAAAACAAACAAAAUAAUAUUAAUUUUUAAAAUUUAAAAUCAAAUCAAUGUCGAUCUUUUUUAUUUGUUUUGAUUAAAUUUCAGAUUUCAUUUUAUUUUUUAUCAAAUUGUGAACAUCCAUAGAUAGAGGUAAAAUUGCAUCACAUGCCUAAGAGUAAGACAUCACAUGUAAAAUUAUACAAAAUAUAUUAUUAUUAUUAUUUAUAUUUUAGUUGAUUAUUUUUAAAAUUCAUAUCGUAAAAAUUGUAACAUAAUUAAUCACUAAUAAUAAUUUGUCUUGCGAGUUAUAUGGAAUUAUUUAUUUCUUAGCUAGUUUCUUUCAAUAGGUGUCGUAAAAAUUAUGACACGUGUUACUACUACUGAUAGUUUGUCUAUUAAAUUGUAUCUUAAUAUUUAUUUGUUAGCUGAUUUUUCUUUUAAUUAUGUGUCGUGAAAAUUGUGACAUGCCUUACCACUAAUAAUAGUUUGUCCAGCGAGUUAUUUGUUAAAAAUUUGAAAUGGAAAAAAAAAGCAUAGAGAAAAUUAAAAAAAGAAAUUAGAAUAUUUCUUUCUUUAUUUGAUUUAUUACGAGAGAAAAAUAUUUACUCAUACUUCUAUAUUAUUUUUUUUGACAAAUGCGUUGCACGUAUAUGUCAAGUCAUAUUGCAUGUUGAUUAUUUGCAUCGCUGCACUUGUACACCUAUGCUCUUGAGGUUGUACUUCUCUUUGAUUGUAAAGAAAUCAAGGCUUAAUUAACUGUUUUAAGAUGUUUUUGAUAUUUAAUAGUGUUAUCUGUUGUCAUAUGUAUUCUUUGAAUACAAAUUUGAACAAUCUAAUUUAACUUAUUUUAAUAACCUCAAUAUGUUACCUAUUUCAAUUUAUUGUACAGUUAGAUUAACUAAUUCAUAACGGCAUAUUUUUUGCUUGAACCAAAAUGAUAAAAGAUAAUUUUAUUUAUAUUAGUGUAACCUUUUAUUUUUUCUAUAAAGGCCAAUUCACAAAAAGUUUACCUCUCACGUUUUUUUUUUUUUUUUUUUUUUAAACCACUCGGUGUCCGGUACCUGCUUUGUAGGAGUUUGAUUAUGUUUGAAUUCGCCCCGCGUCGGGUCCCAUUUGAGGAAGCUUCCAACAAAGUGUUUGUCCAUACCCAGGGUCAAACCCUCGACCUCUGGGUAAGUUGGGACAGCCCCUUUCCGCUGCACUACCACUGCUGUUGGUCACGUUUUUAGUUUCAUCAAGAAGAACUUAGUGCUUUUGAUCUUUCUCCGCUCUUGUUUUUAUCUUCUUUGAUCUCACAUUUGUAAGUUUUUUUGGUCUUGUCGAAACUAUUUUAAAAAUGGCUUUGUGAUAUUAUUUGAAGUCUUUAUGGUGUUUUAAUUCGAGUUUUAAAAUGUCAAAAUUAAAAUAUAAAUUACCUAGGAUAAGAGUGAAAAAUGCCAAAAUGAAGGGUUAAUUAAUUUUUCAAAUAAAAUUGAUAAAUAUUUAUGUGGUUUUACCUAUACAGCAAAGCAAAGAAGUAAUGAAAUACUUAUAAAUAUUCUUAAAUUUUAAAAUACUCUACCAUUAUUCUAAAGUCCAAAGUUUAAAUUUAUGUUUUGAAAAAGAUUUGAUAUGGUCUGACUCAUUUCGUUGCAAUUCCUUCCCCACUAUGAACUGAGAAGUUGGAGCUAACAUUUUAAGAUAUUUAUUUGUAUAGUUCUCCUCUCAGUCGGAGGAACUGAAAAGUGGUCAUAAUUCAUCAAUUUGAUUUUUUCAGUAAUAUUAAAAUUAAAUCAGAUUAAUUAUGGUCGAUUUUUAAAAUUUAAAAUCAAAUUAAAUGUUAAUUUUUUUAAUUAUUUUGAUUUGAUUUUUAACCAAAUCAUGAAUACAAAGGUAAAAUUAUCUGCACAUUAUCCGUCUAAGAUAUCACUUGUGAAAUUACACAAAUAUAUUAUUAUUUAUUUUUAGUUUAUUUUUCUUUCAAUAUCGUGAAAAUUGGGACAUUGUGCCAUGUGUCACUACUAAUAGUAAUUUGUGUAAUGAAUUACUAUAUAUUAAGUAUUAUUUAUUUGUUGGCUGAUUUUUCUUUCAAUUACGUGUCGUGAAAGUUGUGACAUGCAUCACCACUAUAAAUAGUUGGUCUAAAUGAGGUAUUUAUUUAAUAACGGGAAUUAAAAAACAAAACAAGCUAGGAAAGCAUAGAGAAAGAAAAAAUUAGAAGUUUUCAUUGUUUAUUUAGUUUAUUACGAUAGAUAAAAAUAUUUACUCACACUUAAUAUUUGUAUUAAUUUUUUGAUGAAUACACAUGCACGUCAAGUCGUCAUAUUGUAUAUAAUUUGGUAAACAAUAUAAAUAUUUUUAAAACAAAAAUUUGGGUUAAUAAUAAUACAUUAAAAUUUGGGUUGUUCCAAAUCAAACUCGAAUCAAGGAAAAUAAUAUUGAUUUAACGUAUUCAGUAGUUAAUUUAAUAGUUCUGAUUUUAUUAGGUUAUUGAUUUCAUAACGUUCUAGAAUUAUUUCUUAUCAAGUCAUCCAAUAAUCUGAUAACAGCUGAGAAAAAUUUCUACAGAUUCAUUAUAUUUUAGUACUCAACUUAUUCAAUCAAUACAAAUUGGUUGGUUCAAUCCCUUUGUAUCAUGUUAUACUUACUAUUUCAUACUUUGCAGUUAAUCUUCUUAAUGUCAUAUGCAUUGUAAGUAAUACUUAUUCUAAACUAAUAGAUUAUAUUUAAUUUAAUGAAAUUUGAUUUUCAGCGUUCAAGUACAAAUUACUUGAUAAUUUUGAAGUAUCUUAAUAGAUUUCAUUUAUUACAUUGUCCUUAAAUAAUUUUUGAUUAAAAAAAAUUAUAUUUGUAGACUUAACGGUUAACACAAUAGUUAACUUACAACAAUCAAUAACCAAUUUACUAAUAUCCUAACAAUUCUUUAAUAAUUUAGUGUGUUUAUAAACAUAUGACCAAUUAAUCAAAUUAAUAAUCUUUAAAAUCGAACCGACCGAUACUGACGGUAGCAUCAAAAGGGUAGAUUUGUUAUUUAUUUGGUAGCUGAUUUUUCUUUCACUACGAGUUGUGAAAAAUGUGACAUGCAUCAUUAUUAGUAAUAGUUUGUCUAAUGGGUUAUUUAUCCCCACCCCCCAAAAAAUAAAAAAAUAUAUAGAGAAAGAGAAUGAAAACAAGACCAUAACAAUAACAUACCCAGUGUAUUCUCACAUAGUAGGGUUUAGGGAGAGUACAGUGUAUGCAGACCAUACCACUACCUCAGGUGAAGUAGAGAGGCUGUUUUCGAUAGACUCCCGACUUAUGAUCGAUAACAGUAUAACAAACACAGAACAUAAAUGCAUAUAAACUAGUAUAGUAUGCAAAAUAAGCUAACACUGCUAACCACAAGAUAAACUACAGGCACAAGAUAAUACUAACAACUAUCUAUCCGAAAUCAUAGACAUCUCUCAACAUCACGAAUAAGAAUCUUUAGACACAAAUAAAGAACGUUCCCUUACUGUUACCUACGCACUCACACCCCCUAAACCUCUAUCCUAACCCGCGUUCACCACACCUUCCUAUUAAGGAUCAUAUCAUUCGUAACCUAUAACUGCUCCAUAUCAUGUCAAAUUACCUCCCUCCAAUAUUUCUUUGGCCUACCUCUACCCCGCCUAAAACCAUCCAUUGCCAGUGUCUCACACCUCCACACUGGAGUAUCAGAGUCCCUCUUCAUCACGUGCCCAAACCAACAUAACCUCACUUCUCGCAUCUUGUCCUCCACUGAAGCCACUCUCACCUUCUCUCGAUUAAUCUCAUUCCUCAGUCUACCUUUCCUGGUAUGGUCACACAUCCAUCGCAACAUCCUCAUCUCCGCCACCUUCAACUUUUAGAUGUAGGAGUUCUUAACUGGCCAACACUCUGCUUCAUACAACAUAGCCGGUCGGACUGUUACCCUGUAGAACUUACCUUUAAGCUUCGGGGGCACCUUCUUAUCACAUAAAACUCCUGAAGCGAGCCUCCAUUUCCACCAUUUUGCCUCAAUACGAUGCGUGACAUCCUCGUCAAUCUCACCAUUACCCUGAAUCAUAGACCCUAGAUACUUGAAACUCUCCCUCUUCUGAAUGGCCUGAGAGUCCAGCUUCACAACCACGUCAGCCUCCUGCGACACAUCACUAAACUUACACUCCAAGUACUCCGCCUUGGUAACGCUCAAUCGAAAUCCUUUAGACUUAAGGGUUUGUCUCCAAAUCUCCAACUUAUCAUUAAAUCUUUUCCGAGUCUCGUCAAUCAGUACCACAUCAUUAAUAAAUAACAUACACCAAGGCACCUCCUCUUGAAUAUGUCGCGUCAAAACAUCCAUCACCAAGGUUAAUAAAAAGGGGCUAAGAGUCGAUCCCUGGUGCAACUGUAGACACGUGAUUUUUAUCCUCCCCGAGUUUUAACCUAUUUUUCGGCAUCAAAUAUUUUUAUUUUGUCCAAUAGUUAUUUUAGCUUUUAUUUCAUUUUUAAUAGGUUUUAGUUAAAAAUAAAUAAAAAUAGUAAUAAACAAAGUUACAUUUUUGGGAUGUUAUUUUAUUUUAUUUUAUUUUUAUUUUUUGUUUCUAUAAUAAUACGAAAAUUCAAAAAAUAUAUUUUCUCUCUUUUUAAUUUUGAUAAAUAGGCUAGUAGUUUUAUUAUUCUCUUAAUAUUAAUUUUAGAUAUUAUAAAUUUUUCUUAUAUUUUCUUAUUCAGUUCCUUUCUAUUUACUUUUGUAAGUAUGGUUGUGAAUCUAAAGCAUGAACAAAGUCGCUUAUGUGAUUAUAUGCUACUUUGAGUUGUGAAUCAGUAUAUGUAAAGCAAGUUUUGUAUUACUAUGAUUUAAUACUUACUUAUCUUGUUAAGUGUCCCGUUUUAUUUGUGUGCAAUGUUUGCUUGGAAUUAGCAUAUAUUAAAUAGGUGAAUGGUUCAUAGGUUGGCACGGAUUUAGUUAUGCAGAUUUUUUUUAAAAAAAUUAAAAUAAUCCCUAACAUACUAAUUUUUUAAUGACAAAACAAUGGCUUAAUUAGACUCAAAUAAUAGAUAACCUGCAUGAAAAAUUGAUGUACAAGUUUGAGGCAUCAUAUUUGACGAGCAAUGUUUGAUUUGUUUUAUCUACUAUUUGCCCUUAGUUUCGUAUUAUUAACCUUAUUUUCUCAGAAAUAUAUUUUUGUUUCACAUAUUUAAACCAGAGGUUAGGCUUUUAGCAGGUAUAAGAUUGAGAGGGUUUCCAACAACUCGUGUUUUUGAUUCAAGAAAAUAGUGAACCUGUAAGUAAAGCCAAGAUUUGUUUAAAUUGGUGGUGUUUAUCUAUGCAAUUACGUGCUAAAUUUGUGUUAGGAUUUUGAAUGUAUUUUGAAGCAUAUAAAAUUUCACCUAGAAUCCUAUUAAAAUAUAGACAUAAGUUAAUAAGAUUUGAAUAUGUUCAUGUUUAAGUUUAGGCCAAACCCAUCGGUGGCCCCUAAACUUGGCACGAACUUUUACUUAGACACCUCAAGUGGACGUUGUUCACUUUUGACACCUCAAGUAGCCAUAAAGUGUGUCACUUUGACACAGUUUGCUGAAUCAGCAAAGAGAUUGUAUUAUACUCGCUUUUAGGCUCGUUUUAGGGUAUAUAAAAUAUAAAUAACCCAAUUAUAAAAGGACAUUUGACAUUUUUAUAAAAAUAAUUUUUAUAUAAUUAAUUUAAAGUAAAAAAGAAUUAAUAACCCCACCCCCCCCUUAUAUCAUCUUCCUAUUGCUGCCACCCCUACCCCAAAAUCGUCUUCUCCCACCCUCCCUCACCCCCAUCCAUUAAUUUUCCACCAUUUUUUUUCUUAAUACAAUUGAUUUUUAAUAAUUUGAAAGAAUACAGGUUUGUUCAGAUUGUAGAUUUCUUCUUCUUCUCUCUUUCAACCACUAAUUUUUCUUUUCUUAACACAUAUGUAUCCCUUUAUUUUCUUGUCUGGUUUUCGAGAAAAUGACAAAAAUGAUCCAUAUGUUGGAAUUUGAUGAGACUAUCAUGAUGUUUUUGAGAAAGUGAAAAAAAUGGCCCAUAUGUUGAGAAAAUGGCAAAAAUAAUUUUCGUCGAUGGAACAACAGUGUUUGCUAUUGUUGGCUUGGUAAAUUUGUGCUAUAUGUUUUGAAUUUGUUGAGAAGUGAAUUUGUUGUUGGUAAAAAUGGCUCCGAAGUGAAUUUGUGUUGACGGAGCUUCGGUGUUGUCUUGAUGGAGGUGCGGUUGUUGGCUUGGUUGGCGGUUGAGGGGAAUGGAGAAGAUGACUUUGGGGUUUGGGGAGUGAGGGUGGGGGAGGGGGAGGGUAAAUGGAGAAGAUGACGGGAGGGGGGGAGGUUGCCAUGUAGAGAAGAUGACUUGGGGUGGGGGUUGGUGGGGGGAUGGGUGGUGGUGGAGAAGAUGACUUUAGAGUUUGGGGGUGGUGGGGUGGGGUGAGGGUUGGGUUGUUUGCUAUAAAAUCAAAUAAUUUUAUAAUUAUUUUUAAAAAUGUCACGUGUCAAUAAUUAAUUGGUUCCUUUAAUUUAAUUGUGUGUGUAUAUAUUAAUAAGUUGUAUAAUUAUUAAUAAUCAUGUAUUUUGGCCUUAAUUGUGAAUAUAAAUAAUGAUGUGACAAUUUAAAUGUGUUGGCACAAAUCAAUUGGUCGUUUUGUCCACGUUGGCGGUGAGUGCAACACACACAAUGUGCUGAUUCAGCAAAAAGUGUCCAAGUGACACACUUUGUGUCUACUUGAGGUGUCAAAAGUGAACAACGUCCACUUGAGGUGCCUAAGUGAAAGUCCGUGCCAAGUUUGGGGGGCCAUCGAUGGGUUUGACCUUAAGUUUAUAUAUUCAUAUGGCAUUUAAAUGUUUCAUAGUGUUGUGACAUAUCUGUAUAAUCAUGAAGAGUUAUUGCACCAUUCAUAUUUUUGUAUGCUAUUAACGAGAAUAUGAAUGGUAUGGGUUACAAAAUUGUACAACAUUUGCUGCAUGCAUCAAGAAAAGAAAGGAGCAGAAAAUUCAUUUGUAAGGAAGCGAGAUGGGAUACGGAUUUAUUUCAAACUUCAUCGCAUAAAAGAAAAGAAAAGAGAGGAAAAAUCAACCGUAAGGGAGCGAAAUUGUAAAACAAUAAGUUAGGUUCUUAACCUCAAGAAAUUAAGAUUUAACACACAAGCGAAAGUUAACAAUGAAGUUGGAAAGCCCUGUUACCGACCAUUCGUUAUAAAAAAAUUUAACAUAACAUUUGAAGCCAAUCUAAUUGGGUUGGGUAGAUUCUAAACAUGUUAGGUGCUUAUUUAGAUCGAAAAAAAUAGGAAUGGUCCAAAUGCCUUAAAAGUGCGAGAAAUAUAUCAAACUCCGUGGUAUGGUCGGAAAGUACUGCUACCAGCAAACCACACAUUAAUAUAUUUAAAAUAACUAAAAGCAGGAUGUAAGUAACUUUUAGGCCAACAAAUGUUAUAUAUAUCUAAAGGAUUAAAUUAAGCCAAACAUAAGUAAUUAAAACGACCGUGCUAGAACCACAAGAUUCGAGGGGUGCCUCGUAUCUUUUCCUCGGUCAACAGAAUUUCUUACCCGGUCUUCUAUUUUCGCAGACUAAUAAAGAGUCAUUUUCUUUUGAUUAGAGAUUCAAUAAGGUGACUUGGAACACCAUAACUCAAUUCCAAGUGGCGACUCUGUAAAUAAAAUAAUCCAUAUUCAAAACCGUCUUUUUAAUUGGAAAAACCCUUCGACUCUUCGACCGACGAAAAAGGGGUGUGACAGCAACCCUAUCAAAAUUGAAAAGUGCUCCGAAUCUCCAUUUACUAUCCUCACAUGAGUCUUCGCGCCACCAUACAUGUCCUAAAUCGACCUAGUAUAUGCCACAGACACCCCUCUCGCCUCCAAUCACCUUUACAGAAUCUCCUUGGAAUGCCAUAUGUCUUCUCAAGAUCGAUAAACACCAUGUGCAAGUACUUCCUCUCCCAAAACCUUUUCACUAAUCUCCUCACAAGGUGAAUGGCCUUAGUAAUCGAGCGACCUGGCAUGAAACCCAACUGAUUCUCAGAGAUAGUCACGAUCCUUCUCAACCUCAAUUCUACCACCCUUUCCCAAACUUUCAUAGUAUGACUCAACAACUUAGUACCUCUAUAGUUGUUGCAACUCUAGAUGUCUCCCUUGUUCUUAUAUAAUGGAAUCAUCGUACUUCACCUCCACGCUCCAUGCAUCUUCGCCGCCUUAAAAAUGAUGUUAAAUAACCUAUCAACCACUCCAAACCUUCCUCGCUAGUGCUCUUCCAAAAAUUCACUGAAAUCUCGUCUGGCUCCGUCGCCUUACCCCGAUGCAUCCUGCGAAUAGCCCUCCUGACCUCCUCAACCUUGAUACAUCUACAAUAACCAUAAUCGCGACACUCCUUAGAUUUCUCCAAGUCCCCCAACACUAAACCUUUGUCCCUCUCCUCGUUCAAAAGUUUAUGAAAAUAGGACAAAAAAAAAGGUUAGAAAAGUAAAAAUUACAAAGCCGUCUUCUCUUAUUUGACUUAUUACAAUAGAGAAAAGUAUUUAAGAGGUGUUUGGAUUUAACUUUUCUAAGUGACUUGCAAGUUAUUUUCUUCGCUUUGAAAUAGUUGACCCUUGUUGACUUGAUACUUUCCUUAAGAAAAUAUUUAUUAGAGGUUUAUUUUACCAAAUUAGUGUUAUUAAUUAUGCUUUGAAAAUAUAAAUUUGAAUACAUACACUUUAUUUAGUCAUUUAAUGAUAAGGGUAGUAUUAGAAGAAUAUAAUAAAAUUCUCUUGAUUUCAUCAAAUGGACAACUAAAUUGAAACAAAUAUUUUUUGGGACAUUGUUAUCCCGGGAUAACUAAUACCGGAAUUAGUUAUCCCGGAAUUACCCAAAAUAACUUAUCCCAUAAUGUAUAUGGAAUAAGUUAUCCCAUCACUAUGGAAAAAAUGGUGGGAUAAGCUAUCCUACCAUGGCUUAAUCCCUCCAACCAAAUAAGGAAUUUAAGUGAUCUUUUAUUUUAUCCCGAGAUAGCUUAUUCGAUAUAUUAUUGUUUGUUUGUUAGCUGAAUUUUUCUUUCAACACCAGUUGUAAAAUAUGUGACAUCGGUUAUCAUUAAAUAAUAGGGUGAAAAUCAUUUUCACCCUCCAACUUUGAUUAAAAAAACAAACUCCUUCCUCAACAUUAAACAAUAACUAUACUUCCCCAUUUAUUCCAUGCAAUGUCUAUUUUGUCCUUAUAAUUUUAAUUAUAUAUUUAUGUAAUAUCUUUUUAUAUUAUAUGUAAUGAAUAUUUUUUUAACAUUGAUAUUUAUAACAUUUUAUUUAAGUUUAUUAACUUUAUACGCAAAUUAAUACGUUUUAUAAAUUUAUCACAAAAUUCAAUAGUAUUUUUNNNNNNNNNNNNNNNNNNNNNNNNNNNNNNNNNNNNNNNNNNNNNNNNNNNNNNNNNNNNNNNNNNNNNNNNNNNNNNNNNNNNNNNNNNNNNNNNNNNNNNNNNNNNNNNNNNNNNNNNNNNNNNNNNNNNNNNNNNNNNNNNNNNNNNNNNNNNNNNNNNNNNNNNNNNNNNNNNNNNNNNNNNNNNNNNNNNNNNNNNNNNUGGGUUAUUUUCAAACUUCCCCAACUUUCUUAAUCCAUAAUAAAGUAAUUGUCACCUCCACCUAAUAAUUAAGACUUGUGUCACCUACACCUCAUUUUAAAACUCUUUUGUCACCUGUGGCCCAUGUCUAUACUGUUACUUUAUAUAGUUAUUUAACACUAAAGGGUAGAAAAAAACAUAAUACAAUUCUCUUGAUUUCACAAAUUGAGCAGAUAAACUAAAAUAUUUAUUUUUAGCAUGAGGAUCCAGUGAUAAGAAACGGUAUUAUCUAUUGUCUAUAUCAAUAAAUAAGCUGUAAUUGCAAUUAAUAGAGUAUUACAUAUUUUAUAAUUUAUAUAAAUAAAUAUAAUCUUUAAAAUUUGACCUUAUUUUUAUUCGAGAAAAACAUCUAGUAUCCCCGAACUAUGGCCAAAUUUGCUACGACACACGUCAACUUCACGGGAGUCCUAUUACCCCUUAAACUAAAUUUUUGCGUAUUUUUGUUAAUUUUUUUAGCUAACGUGAUACCUUCUGUCAAUCAUUUUAGAUGGCGUGACACCUUUGAUAUGGGCUCCAUUUUAUGUAAUAAAGGUGCCACAUUAGCACAAAAAAUGAUAAAAAUGCGCUAAAUUUGAGUUCAGAGGAUAAUAGGACCCCUGUGAAGUUAGAGUGUGUCGUAACAACUUUGACCAUAGUUGGGGGUGGUACUAGAGGCUUAUCUCUUUCAUUUAUUGUUUGUAUUUUCUGCAUUGAAAUGUGUUUAUAAAAUUAGUAGUACGUAUUAUUUUUACUUCUUAAAAUAAAUAUUAUAGUUUUGAUUAUUAUUAAUAAAACUAAUUUUCUUAUUAUGCCAAUUUACUUCAUAAAGAUCAUCAUUAGCUUAUAUAUUUCUUACUUUUUUUAGAAGAUACUGUUUAUGUUUUUAUGAAAAUUUUGUUAUAUGAAUAAGGCAAAAACUUCUGGACCCUUGUACUAUGUCGGUUUUGUAAAUUGGAUACUUCUACUUACAUGUUUGUCAUCUAGACUCCUGAACUCACUAAAAAGUAACAUUUUAAACUCUUUUUUUGUGAGUGUAACACACUCUCCCCACGUCAGCCGGCACGUCAGCUGCCACAUCCUUUUAAAAAAAAAUUUAAAAAGUAUUACAUUAAAUUUCAAGUCAUUUUUAAAAUGAUAAAUACCAAAUUAAAUAUUAAAAUUAAUUUAAUUAAAUAAUAAAAAUUUAUUAUUGUAGAAAAAUUUGAAUAAUCAUGUUUUUAUUUUUGCUCACAAAUUAAACAUCAAAUUCAUUCNNNNNNNNNNNNNNNNNNNNNNNNNNNNNNNNNNNNNNNNNNNNNNNNNNNNNNNNNNNNNNNNNNNNNNNNNNNNNNNNNNNNNNNNNNNNNNNNNNNNNNNNNNNNNNNNNNNNNNNNNNNNNNNNNNNNNNNNNNNNNNNNNNNNNNNNNNNNNNNNNNNNNNNNNNNNNNNNNNNNNNNNNNNNNNNNNNNNNNNNNNNNNNNNNNNNNNNNNNNNNNNNNNNNNNNNNNNNNNNNNNNNNNNNNNNNNNNNNNNNNNNNNNNNNNNNNNNNNNNNNNNNNNNNNNNNNNNNNNNNNNNNNNNNNNNNNNNNNNNNNNNNNNNNNNNNNNNNNNNNNNNNNNNNNNNNNNNNNNNNNNNNNNNNNNNNNNNNNNNNNNNNNNNNNNNNNNNNNNNNNNNNNNNNNNNNNNNNNNNNNNNNNNNNNNNNNNNNNNNNNNNNNNNNNNNNNNNNNNNNNNNNNNNNNNNNNNNNNNNNNNNNNNNNNNNNNNNNNNNNNNNNNNNNNNNNNNNNNNNNNNNNNNNNNNNNNNNNNNNNNNNNNNNNNNNNNNNNNNNNNNNNNNNNNNNNNNNNNNNNNNNNNNNNNNNNNNNNNNNNNNNNNNNNNNNNNNNNNNNNNNNNNNNNNNNNNNNNNNNNNNNNNNNNNNNNNNNNNNNNNNNNNNNAUUUUUAAAUUCUUAAAAAUAUUUUAAUUUUUUUUGUUUUUAAAAAUAUUUUUUUAAAAAUUAAAUUAAAAUAGAUGAAGGGAAAGAAAGGACCCUUUUUAUUUUUUUAAAAAAAAUUUAAUAUUUUUUUAAAAAUUAUUUUAAUGUAAAAUUGGCAAAAAUUUGACCCCCACUCGCACCCCAGGCGAGUGACUAUACUCUCUUUGUCCUAGUCACCAUUCCAAUGCCACAUAGGCAAGAUCAACGGUCAAAUAAUGCAAAAUUUUAUUUUUUAAUGGGUUCAAGGGUCCAUAUGAUAAAUAUGUAAGUAGAAGUGUUAACUUACAAAACCGACAUAGUACAAGGGUCCAGAAGAUAAUUUUUCCUAUGAAUAAUGUUUAUGUUUUUAUGAAAAAAUUGUUAUAUGAAUUUUUUUUAAAAUGAAAAUAUGAUGAUUUUAAAGAAGUUAAAAAAAAGAAUAAAAAAAUUAUUGAUAAAGGGCAAAAUAGGAAUUUAAAAAAGUUAAUUAGGAUAAAGGGGGAGUAUGAUUAUUGUUCAAAGUUGCGGGGGGAGUUUGAUUUUUAAGACAAAGUUGGGAAGGAAAAAUGAUUUUAACCCUUAAAUAAUAAUAAUAAUUUAUCUUAUCGUUAUUUAUUUAAAAAUUAGAAUUUUUCAAAAAAAGUAGAAAGGUAGAAAUUACAAAAUCUCCUUCUCUUAUUUGAUUUUUCAAAGGAAUGAUGAAGGUAGAAAACGUUUGAUAUAAUUUUACCUUUGGCCCUACUUGUCACAUUCACCCCUUUAUUUGUUGAUUUGCCAAACAUAGUGUUCCACCUAUUGAUCACCUUUUUCUUUUUACUCCGUGUAUUAAUAUUUUUAUUAUUAUGUGGAAAUUGUUGGGAAACAAUAAUAAAGUUCUGUAUUAAUUGUAAAAUUUAAUAUAAAUAAAUUAUAAUAAUGAUAAUAUUUUUUAUAGAGCAGUAUCAACAAGUUACGAUAAUGAUAAUUAUGAUGAUAAUAAUAAUAAUAAUAAUAAUAAUAAUAAUUAUUAUUAUUAUUAUUAUUAUUAUUAUUAUUAUUAUUAACUGACUACUAUAAUAUUUUAAGUGAUGUAUAAAAUAUUUUAGUCGUGUUAGACACUGUUCUAAGAAACUAUUUUCGCAAUGUGUAACAUUUCUCCGAGAUUAAACAACCACUUCCUUAAUUAGUUAGAGGAUACCCAAGGUUAUGUAAGUCUUCCCUAAUUAACUAGAGUACAAAAAUCAACAAUUAUGAAUGAUACAAAAUCAACAAAUCAAAUGGGGAAUACAAAUAACAAAAAUCAUAUAAAAUUAACAAUGUGAAUGAAGGGCAAGAGAGAAAAUAGGAAUUUGAGAAGAGAAGAAAGACAAGAACUAAUCAAUAAUUGUUUAUGACUGACUCGCUAUUCUUGCAACUGAUGAGAAAGCCCUAUGGAGUAAAGGAAUGUUUUUCGUUUGGCCAAACCCAUCUACAGCUCCCUAAACUUGGCACCAUCUUUCACUUUGUCACCUUAAGUGGAUGUUGUUCACUUUGCGGAAUCAGCAAAGAGAGUGUAUCACACUCGCUAAUGACUUGGAAAGAGACCAAUUAUAAAAGGACAUUUGUCAUUUUUAUUAAAAUAAUUUUAAGGCGUCAAAAGUGAACAACAUCCACUUAAGGUGCCAAAGUAAAAGAUGAAGCCAAAUUUAGAGGGAUUGUCGAUGGAUUUGACCUUUUCUUUUAGUGUCAUCAAAUGAGCUUAGCACCCAUAUAUAUAGUAGUAGCUAGUAUGUAGGAAAAACAAAAAUUAACUCUACUUGUUCACAAAAUAAUUAAAGUUCUUGGCCAUUAAGAAAUAAAAGAACUUGGCCACAAAGUAAUUAAAAUACUUAGCCAUUAGGAAAUAAAAGUACUUGACCACAAAGUAAUUUUAACCAAUAAAAAAGUAAUUUAAUUAUUCUUUUGAAAUAUUAUUAUGUUGACAACAAAAAAUGAUAAACUUAUUUCACCCUUAAUUAGGUAAUUUAAGGCCAAAAUUUGAAAAUAUAUAUCUUUCGGCAGUAGGUAUAUUACUUUUUUUUUUUGUAUGAGUUUACUUAAAAGUGAAACUGAAUUAUGGACUUACUAAAUUUUAGAUAUUAAACAAUUUUAAUCGGAGGGGAAAACUCACGGUAUCUUUAAUUUUUUUUUUUAUUUACAUGGUACUAACAAGUUUCAUUACUAUUUUGCUACACAUUUCUUCUUUCAGUUUAAUUUUCUGCAAAAUUCAGAACUUGAGAAUACUGGUAGAUAAUUUUAAUUAGUGGAAACCCAUAAAAGUUUAGUAUCCUAAGCAAAUGACUGUUCUACAAUAAUAACUAUUGAUUUUUUUUUUUUUAUCGACAUGCUGAUGAGAUGUUUGAAAUCUCUCUACUCUUAAUAAGAAAUUUUGAAUUUAGGCCUUGUAGAUGACUUUACUUUUGUCCGAAGCGAAGCAUCUCCCUUAAAAAUAAGUUAUGCAUGAAUCUAGAUUAGUCUCACUCCAAUAUAAAUAUCUGGUAUCAAAUGAUUAGUGUCACUCCGAUAUAAAUAUCUGGUAUCAAAUGAAAAACUAAAAAAAUGAAGUGGCCAAUCUUUAAAAGACAAACCAAGACAUCACCAAUUUAAAAGCAUCCGUUGAUUGGAUAAAUCCAAAUUUUGCUAAUUUUUAAAAUGUUUUCCUGUGUAGGAGGUUGGUGGAUUCACUUGAAACUUGUAGAAAACUACCAGGAAAAUCAUGCAAGUACAAUUAUGAGCGUUUAGUGGAAAGUUGAUUAAGUCAACUAUUUAAAUGAUAGGCAUUUCAUAGUAUUAGACAAAAAAAUAAUGUUCAAGAAUUUUUGUUGAACACAGAAAUUAGUUAUAGAUCUCACACAUUUUUGUAAAGUGGAAAAUAUUUAUCAAACUUUUCAAAACUAAUAUAUACAAGAUAAAAACAAUUAGACACAAUCAAUACCGCUAUGAUCGAGCUAUUGAUAUGUAAAAACAUUCUUAAUGUGUGUGCUAAGUCAAUAAGAAUCAAGUAAAAUAAAACGAGAAUAUAAUUUGGAUCAAUCUAAAAGGCCGACAAGCAGGACGACCAGAAGCUGCUCACUCCCUCUUAUAAUAUAGGAGAAUAUAAUUUUUUUAAGAAAAUAAAGGUAAAUGGUGCUUCAUAUAAAUAGUUUUUCUCUUUGAAUAUUUAUUUAUUUUAAUAGAAUUGAAAUUUAAGUGACCAAGCGAUUAAUUUAAAAAAUUAUUUAUAAAAUGGAAUUAGCUACUUUUCAUUUUAAGAGUCUAUAAGAUCAAAUUUCAAUUUAAAAACAAAAAAUAGAGAGAGAUGGUAGUAUUAGAGUAAAUUAUUUUUCUUAAUCAAUGCGUCAUCUCAAUUUGAGACGGAGGGAGUAUUUCUUAAGAAGUACUCCUAUGCAUAGUAACACACUUUGAUAUGCUUUUAUUGUAAAACCACUUAGGGAAAUGGAACUAUAUCUAACAAUGUGUUAAUUGAGGUUUAAUAAAACAGAAAUAGUACUUUCUCAAGUAGUGUCCUUUAAUUUUGACUUUCUAGCACACAAAAGUUUGACUUUUCAAAAUUCAACAAUUAUAGAAUUGUCAAUUGUCAUAAAUAAUAAACGAAAAACAAAAAGUCACCGGUCUGACGUUUUAGCAAUGAAAACAAAAUAAAUAAAUUAAUAGAAUUAUUAUAAAUAAAUCAAUAUAUGGAAUAAAAAUAACGAUAAUGGAAAAAAAAAAAUUGUAAUAAAAUAUUGAAUGCGAAUUAUUUUUUUUCAUAUCAUGUGAAUGAAAUGUUGUUCUGGCAAGUUUCGUCUCUUUGAAGGCACAUUUAAUGGUGUCAACUUCCUAGCAUUAUGUAAUAGAGGAAAAUAACAGAAAUGCUCCUUAUGUUUGGGUAGAUUUAAAGUUAUUCUUUAAGUAUUUCUAUAAGCAGUUUUUUCCCCCCUUCAAAUUUGCCAAAGAUGAGCAAUUUUUGCCUCCUACAAAUAUUUAAUAUAUUUUAUUUGUUAAAUUUGAUGACAAUUGUAAAAAAAACACUUAGUUGGAAUUCAAAUUCAGUUUAAUUUACAGUAGCUUUGAAAAAAAAAAGAAUUUCUAAUUUUGUAAUUUAUGAGAUCUGAAAAUAUCAUUUUUUUUUUUUAAUUUAAAGUUGUAAGUAGUAGUAGGAGACCAUUCGCUUAUAGUCAAGAAAUAAUUACAAGCCUGAAUCAUUCGAUCAUCAAAUUUAUAAAAUAUACAUAAAGUAUAUAAAUUUUAUAUACUUUAUACAUAUAAUAUACAUACCUAUCGUUUAUAUUUCAACCUUAUUGAUAAACUAAUCAGUACAAAUAAGCAUAUGUGUGAUUUAAUUAACAAUUAUUUCAAUAUACGUUUGGUAGGGAUGUAAAAAUCAAGACUAGUUAGGAGGAGGAAAAGUAAAAAAAGGGGUACAUAUCAUUUCUUUUGUUUGGUAGGGUGGUCAAGACUCAAAUAGGAGGGAAGUGAAAAUGAAAAUGUUUAAUAUCCUUUACUAGUGGUAGUCAACAAUCAACACUUUUUUAAUUCAUCCGGAACUACAAGAGUUUAAAGUGUAUAAUAAAGUUGAUGAGCUAAUAUCAAGAUAAUAUAUAUANNNNNNNNNNNNNNNNNNNNNNNNNNNNNNNNNNNNNNNNNNNNNNNNNNNNNNNNNNNNNNNNNNNNNNNNNNNNNNNNNNNNNNNNNNNNNNNNNNNNNNNNNNNNNNNNNNNNNNNNNNNNNNNNNNNNNNNNNNNNNNNNNNNNNNNNNNNNNNNNNNNNNNNNNNNNNNNNNNNNNNNNNNNNNNNNNNNNNNNNNNNNNNNNNNNNNNNNNNNNNNNNNNNNNNNNNNNNNNNNNNNNNNNNNNNNNNNNNNNNNNNNNNNNNNNNNNNNNNNNNNNNNNNNNNNNNNNNNNNNNNNNCCCCCCCUUAUUCCUACCCCUAAAGAGAUCAAGGAUACAAUCUUUUCCUUCAAGCCUAGGAGAGCACCUGACCCUGAUGAAAUCCAUCCUCUCUUGUACCAAAAAUAUUAGGACAUUGCGAGCUCCCAUUUCAUUCAAUUGUGCACUGACACCUUUCAAUCCAGCCAAAUGCCCAAGAAUGUGAACACCACAUAGUUUUGCCUAAUACCCAAGUGUAUGAAUGCUUCUAAUCUUAGGAAUUUCAGACCCAUUGGACUGUGUAACACCCAAUAUAAAAUCAUCGCUAAGAUUAUUGCUGGCAGACUCAGAUGUCAUCUUGAAAACAUUAUUAGUCAGAGCCAGGGCAACUUCCUUCCUGAGAGAAGAACUUCUGAUAAUGCAAUCAUUGUCCAAGAAAUUAUUUCUUACUUCACGAGGAUGAAAGGCAAAAAAAGUAACAUGAUUCUUAAAAUUGACCUAGAAAAAAUCUUUGAUGGGAUUGAGUGGUCCUUUAUUAUACAAGCCCUCCACUUCUUUAAUAUCCCUCCAAAAUUGAAUUCCCUCAUAAUAUCUUGUAUAUCCCCCUCUUCUAUUGUAAUGCCCCGAGAUCCCAUCCCGAGAAGUCACACAGUGCUUAUAGACCCGACAAGCUAACCCUUUUCUGAUAUCUGUAUCUGUACACUGCAUAAGAUCUGAAAAAAAUAUGGAAACUUGCCAUAAGGUUCAACACAUCUAUACAUACUCAAAACUGAAAACUGAAUACUAAUACAUCCAUCUGAAAAACCUCUAACUGUCUGAACUGUGGAGUUGAUGGGACAUGUCCCCAACUAACUCCGUCAACAGAAAAUAAACAAAGUCUGAAAUAAUAGUAGUAAAUUGAGACUCAUCCUCAAAAGAAGAGGACUCACUUCUACUGCUGCUGAUUGGGACCAAACUGCUGAGGAUAAACUGGAUCCUGUGCCUCUGAACCUAUAGUGUCAAAUAAAACACCAUAGUGCGAAUGCGUCAGUACAAACAUGUACCGAGUAUGUAGACGGGGUAGGCUAAUGCAAGGGUUCAUGCAUGCACAAUAUCUAAACUGAAUAAUCAUGAAAAUGCCGCAUGAGAACACAUACAUGAAUGCACAGAACAUGAACACAAUUAUUGCAACUUUAGAUAUUGAAACUCAGAUACCACUUUACUGCAGACUGAACUCACUACUGACACUGAGCUACUGAAUCACUGACUCAUCUGGUACUGAUAACUGAGGAUCUGGAUGUGCUUACAUCAAUGACUGAAUUCUUGGACUUACUGCUUUCGACUGACAAGAUUAGAGAUCAACCUUUCUAACAGAUGAUUUCGCAAGCUUUAUCAAUGAUAAGAAAUAUGAUUAUAUCUAAAUCUGACAACAAGAAUACUCAAUAGAAAUCUGAUACUGUGAUCAAGCCUGUCUGACAACAUAUCUCUGAAUAUAAUAUCAAAUAACUGUAUGUGAGACCAAGUCUAUCUGAUGGGAUGGACUAUAAAUCAAUGGAACUAUCUGAGUUCCUCACAAUGAUAGAUGACUGUAUAUGACAGUCCUAAUUUCUAAAGACUGAUUCUAAAACUGAGACUGAAUCUGAAACUAAAACUGUGGGAAGUAGUCACUUAACUGACAUGCCCCGAUCUACCACAUGUGGGGUCCAACCCGUGCCCCAGUUGGAAGGUUGUCAUUACCCCACCACUGGUAAAGACAACUCUAUGUGACCCUCAUCUAGCAGGUCCUCAAACGAGAACGGUGGAGCCCCCAUCUAGCAGGUCAAGCCACCUCAUCUACCCUCAUCUAGCAGGUAUGAUGUCUCUCAUCCACCCUCAACUAACAGGUGUGAUGUCUCAACCUACGCUGGCUACGUAGUUCUGGAGCACAAAGAUUGUUUCUAAGAAUCACACCCUCUACUAGUAGGUGAGUUUUCAUCCUUGAGCUCGUUCGGUGCUAGUUUCUACUCCCAACUGAAAGACUCAGAACUGAAUCUCAACUAUACACUAGCUGAACUAAAUUUGACACUGAUCAUAUUACUCAAAAGGUCUGACUGAGUUACGCUGAGAUCACUUGGUUACGUAGACAAAAAAAUAUCGAAUCAUGGUAUCUGAAUGACGAUAUAGAUCUUGAAUAGAUUACUCGAAUUGCUUCUGAGAUUAAGAUUGAAUUACUUGAAUACUAUUAGAACUGAGCUGAUUACAGGUCUGAGGCUAGAUUACUAGCGAUAUAGAGAUUACAGAGAUAACUGAGAUUACUGAGCUUUAUUAAGCUUCGCACUUGUCUGAGGAUACAGAGUUCUAUAGUUCACUAAGUUCUGAGAAUCAUGGAUCGAUUGGAAUUAUUGAGAAACUGACUCGGGCUCUAGACAACAACUUUAUUUUCGGGUAUAAAUACCCCUAGGACUCGAUAACAUAAAAGUAACACAUAAUAAUUCUUCAUCACAAAUCAUUCAUGCAUCAUUACGGUCAUCCAUUCAUCACUACAAUAAUUCAUUCAUCAUUACAAAUAUUUAUCCAUCAUUACAAUCAUUCAUGUAUCAUCACAAUCGUUAAAGCAUCACUUCAAGUAGUUGGGCAUUAUAACAUACUUUCCCUCUCAAGAUCCUUAGGACAUCGCAUUAAGUAUUUAGGAAACAUAGACCUCUAUUCAUCAUCACAACCGCAAAAGGGUCACUCCAAACCUUUAAGGAUCACAUCAUCGAUUCACUAUCAUAUACUAGCCAAGAGAAGACAUGCUAUUAGAUUAUACCCCAUUCUACGAGAUCUUACAUCAAGUACUUCAUACCUAUAUCGAUCUUGUCAUGUAUUUGGAUAUCACUUGAUUUGGGGGAAACUUCAUACUAUCACGUCACUAUUUACUUGCUAACCACUUGACGUGUAUUAAAAGCUUAGAUAUAUCAAAGAGCACAAAAUCGGAGAAUUUACAACCAUCAUAUCUCGACUUGUUCACUAGGGUCUUUCAACAACCACUAAACACGACCGAUUUUACACCGACUUGGGGAUUUCAUUCUAUCUUGGCAUAUUUCACUCACGAAGGCAUUUUAUCAAACACUAGACAUGCAUGGACUAGCUCACAAUUUGGGGUUUCCUAUUCAACAUACUAUAGUGACCCUUAUGCUUCACCUAAGCUCUUUAUCAAACCUAUGGGGAACGUUCUUCACUUAUUCAACCACUUUUACACCCAAAAAUCAUGAACACAUCACAUGAAAAAACAACUUCAAGUUUACAACUAGGGUCAAAGCUCAUAAAUUUUGUAGGCAAACAUAAAUCAAAACUCAACAACACAUUAAACAUCCAUUUCAACUCAUACAAAUCAUUUACAACUCAUAAACAUAAAAAUCUUUUAGUUUUAAAAAGGGUUCUUGAUCUUCUUGGAUGAAAGGGACCUAAGAAUCAACAUCGACAUACCUUAACCUUGGAAAUUGGAUGAACUCUAAUGUUUGAGACUCUAUCCUCACUUAUAAUAAAGAAACUUUAUCCACAUUUGAAAUAAAUAAAUUCUUGAAGCCCAUACUAUGAGGAACUUGAUUCUUGAAGAAACCUUGAAGAAUUUAUGGAUGAAUUUUGGAAGAUUAGGGUUCUUGAAUGAAACCCUAGAUAAUCUUGAGAGAAUUUAAAAAGAAAAUAAUGGAAUUAGGUUUUGAAUGAGGGUUCCUCGUAUUUAUAGAAGCUCAAAAAGGGUGGAAAAUGACCAAAAUACCCUUGUAAAAAUGCCCUUGAAUUGCUGAAAAAAUAUACUUGACGCCAUCCGUGACAGGCCGUCAGGUCCGUGAUAGGCCGUCACGAAUGGUCGUCACAAAAGGGGUCCAAAUUCUUGAUUUUCUGCCCAGGGCUGACGACAUCAUCAGAAAUGUCGUCAGAAUAUGACGACGUCAUCAAAAAGGUCGUCAGAAACGUGAUAGCCCGUCAGAAACGUCGUCACCGUUUUCCAGCUUGAUAUGCUGGAGUAAAAUGGGCAUAACUCUUUGCUCCGAUAUCGGAUUUAGGAGAAAUUGGUAUCGUUGGAAAGAUAAUUCAAAGAUAUUUCAUUUGAUCUAUAGAAAUCCACCCAGUUAUUCAUAUACAACAAGUUAUGGUCGAUUUAAGUUGACCCAAAUUUUGACGGUCACUAAAACUUGAACGAUAGGAAAGUUUUCAACUCGUUUAUGAGUUAGGGGAUCUCUAUAAUCUUAAUUCAUGAUCAAAUAGAUUCCCACACGAUUCAAAGUAUUUCAUACUUGGGAGGAUAUUUUUGAAACAUUUUGACUCGGAUUUUUGCUUUACCAAAUACGCUCUAAGGCUCAGACUGAAAGAGGAUUUUGCGGGGCAUUACAUCUAUCUCCACUUUGAUAAAUGAAGACAAGACUGAUUUCUUCCAACCCAGUAGACCGGGACGGCUCAACGAAUUUGGUGGCCUAAAGCCAAAUUUUAAUCAGAGAUUUCAAAUAUAUUCAAUAAAAUUUUCUUUUGUGCAUCACACAUGUAUCUCUUGUGCCACUCGUACAUCUUGUACGAUGUAUGUGCAUCUUGUGAGAUUUACGUGCAUCUUAUGUGUAUUUUUUGCGCUAUAAAUGUAUCUUGUUGUCAGUUAAUAAAAAUAUUUAGAAAAAAUGGAGCCUCAAGUCACUACUUUAGUAGCUUUAUGGUCGAGCCAGCACUGGUAGUAAACAUCGGGUGCAUGUAAGCAUUUACCACAGAUGAGAUGCAAUUUAAAAAAUGUUGAUUUUAAGUCCUUUGAAGUAUUAGGUUCAGAAUGAUCUCUCUGCUUUAACUUAAACCCUUCUUGUUCCUGUUACACAUACUAUCAUGCUAACAAGCGUAUCAAAAAUCCACAAUGAUGCAUUGAUUAGUAGUACUGCAAUGAAUAAAUUGAAAAAAACAAUCAUAACUUUGUAAACAUUGGAGAAGAAAUUUACAUAGGAGCAAACAAGUUGCAAUAACAUAAAAAUAAGAAAUUAACAAAAAAUCUAGGGAACUUCCUCCUCGCCUUGGACCUAAUAGGACCGAAGACAGUAAAGGAGUUGAAUCUGCAAUACUAAUAUUUGAUAUUACAGGAAUAGUUUGUGGCUUAAAAUUGUAAUCUAGAUUCUUUUCAAUAUCUAGCACACCCUUCAUGGCCUUGACCACCAUCGAGACUGAUGGCCUCUUUGUGUAAUCACUUUGUAAACACUAGACAUCAAUAUGCAUCGUAUUUAUUCUUCUUUUUUGUAGAACUGCAUAUCUUCACUGUGUUUAUCAAUAAGAUCCACCAACUGCCCUUCCUUUGCCUUUUUCUGAAUAAGUUCAACAUUAUCUUUUCCACUUCAAUCUCUGAUGCCUCAAAAUGUCUUCGUCCACUCAAAAUUUUCAAGAUCACAAUGUCAAAGAUUUAAAGAUCUACCUUUUCUAUUAUAACUCCACUAAGCCAUUCAGGAUCCAAAUAACCAGAAGUGUCUCUCAUCAUGGUCAUGACUUGGCUCUGAUUUCGAUCAAUUAGCUUUACAGCUUUGCAAGCCCAAAGUCAGAGAGUUUAACGUUGAGUUUCUCAUCUAGUAGUAUGUUUGGUGGUGUAAUAUCCAAAUGCAAAAUCUUUUGCCUUCAUUCUUCAUGAUGGUAGGCUAAUCCUUUGGCUACGUCUUGAAUAGUCUUCUUCCUACAAUUUCAGUCUAGAAUUUGCUCUUGUUUCCCAUGGUAGAUCCAUUUUUCUAGUGAUCCAUUGCUCAUGAACUCGUAUACUAAAAUCCUAUGAGAUUUCUCAAUACAGAACCCAAUCAAUUGCACCAACUUUACAUGAUGCAUGCCGUUAAUAGUUUUAACCUCAGCUAAGAAUUAUUUUUUGACUUGUUCUAUUCCAUCAAGGCAUUUCACUACAAUAUUUGUGCCAUCUUCUAAGCACCCUUCAAAAACCAACCCAAAUCCUCCUUCACCAAGAUUCUUAGUAAAAUUCUCUGUUGCAACCUUUAGGUCAUCGUACAAAAAUCUAGUUGGCAUACCUGACACGUGAUCUAGAUAAUCCUCCUCUUCUUCAUUGGCCUUUUUCUUCUUCUUCUUCUUCUUCUUCUUCUUCUUCUUCUUCCAGAAUAUGAAAACUGUAAUUCCAAUUAUGAUGCCUAAGAUGGAAUAUCCUAUAAUAAAGCCCAGUAUAACACCACUUAAAAACGUUUUAGGAAUAUGAGUUGCGGGUUCAGGUUCCUAUACUUUUAUAAAUGCCUGAAAAUCAUACCGUGUUCUGUCCUUCUCAUUAUUCGCUAGUGAAAAGAUCUUGGGUGGUAGGUAGCAGUCUCCAGUGGAAGAGCUUAAACCACUAUGAAAUAGAGCAACUUUACAGGAAUAGUUCCUUAAACAUGUAUCUUUACAGGUAUUCACAUCAGUGUUUCUAAUAUCUGUAAUAAAAAAAUUAUUAGACAUUUGACCAAUUUAUUUGCUAAUUUGUAAUAUAAAUAUGGGAUGAUACAUAAAAAUCUUCCUAUAUUUGGCUCAAUUUAUAAACUGUACAUCUAAAAUCUAUGUAUUGCAUCUUAAUAAAUCUAAUAUUGAGGUACGUACAUAUUGCUACCCUGCCAUAUUUCAAGAGGAAGAUAAAAGAUGAUACUAAAAGCUUUUGCUGAAAACUGGUAUUGUGCAUGAUUAUUGAUUUUAUUUCUCUAGGUCUUAUGAUUUUAUAAUCUCAUCGUAUAACGAUAAGGUAAAAACUUGUGCACAGCGAUGCUUACAGUCAUUCAUCACCUAACUAUAAUUUAGUAAUAUGUAUUCUUUCUUUAAUUUUUAACUGUUGUAAUUAAAUUACUUGGUGGAGAGUAAAUAGGGUCGGCUCAACGAAUUUGGUGGACUAAAGCCAAAUUUUAAUUCGAGGUUUCAAGUAUAUUCAAUAAAAUUAGCUUUUGUGCAUCACACAUGUAUCUCAUGAGCCACCCGUGCAUCUCGUGCAAUGUGUGUGCAUCUUGUGCGAUUUACGUGCAUCUUAUGUGCAUUUUGUGCGCUAUACAUAUAUCCUGUUGUCAGUUAAUAAAAAUAUUUAGAAAAAUGGGGCUUCCAAAAAGUUGGGGUCUCAAGCCAUUGCUUUAGUAGCUUUAUGGUCGAGCCAUCCCUAAUAGUAGAGGGAUCAAACAGGGCAACCCCAUAUCCCCUUAUCUUUUCAUCAUGUGUAUAAAACUCUUCUCUAUAAGGAUUGACCAUGAGAUUGACUUUCUAAAUUGAAAACCCAUCACAAUUAGCAGGAAACCCCUCCCCCUAUCUCAUAUCUUCUUUGCUGAUGACCUUGUUCUUCUUACCAAGGCAGAUAGGAAGAACUGCAAGUCCAUCAAAAACACCCUUGAGAAGUUUAGCUUUUUCUUAGGACAAAAAAUUAAUCUCAAUAAGUCUAAGGUCAUUUUCUCUAAAAAUUGCACUUCAUUAUCAAAGACUCUCUUUCUUUGAUUCUCAAUUUCCAACUAAGGGAGGAUUUUGACAAAUACUUAAGCUAUCUCAUAUUCCACAAAAAGCCCUAUAAUAGGGACUUUCAAUUCAUUGUGGAUAACUUAAACACUAAACUUUCAUGUUGGAAAACCAAGUUUCUUAAUAUUAUUGGUAGAAACAUCCUACCAAAAUUCUCCCUCAGUUGCAUCCCCAUCCACAUCAUGCAAUAUAUUACCUUUCAUAGCAAAAUCCUCAAGACCAUUGAUAGGUCCAAAAGAACUUCAUCUAGGGUUCCACAGUUGAAAAGAGAAAGCUACACCUUAUCAACUGGGAUACCCUGACUCUUUUAAGAAAAGAGGGUGGGCUUAGAGUUCAAAGAGAAAUUACUCAGAAUAAUGCCAUGUACACAUGCUUGGCCUGGAGAUUCUACCAUCAACAUGAUAAGCUCUGGAGUGCAGUGUUGGGAGGUAAAUGUAAUUUCAUUGAGAGAUCUUCCCAUAAGUCUUCCUCCAACACCUAGAAAAACAUUUAGAAGGGCUGGAGGAAUUGCAUCCAAGCUUCUCAAUGAAUUGUCCACAAUGGCCAGAAAAUCAAAUUUUGGCAGGAUAAAUGAAUCACAAUCCCCCCCAAGAAUGUUAUCCAGGGCCCCUUCCACCCUUUCCAAGCUAACAUGGAAUUACCUUCAGUCUGGUAUGAUAAUAUUUGGAAUUUGAAGAACCUUUCCUUCCAAAUCCCCCACAACAUUGUCUAGACCAUCUUAAACACCUUCAAGCCUAACACUAGAACCACUUCAGAUCACCUCAUCUAGAGCUUAUCUGGAAAUGGCCUCUUUACGAGCAAAAAUGCCUUCUCUUUCCUAAACCAGAACUACAAGAGAAUAAACCAAGCCAUCCAUAAACUUUUUUCAUGGAUCUGGAAGGCCACUGCCCUCUCCCCCUUCCUAAAUUAAAUUCUUUUUAUGGCUAGCUCAACAUAAUAGACUCCCCACCAAGCUCACCCUUUCCAACUUGGGAUUAAAAAUCCCUCGUAAUUGCUCUAGAUGUGAUCACCAGACGGAGGACAUUCUCCACAUAUUCUACCACUGUCCCUACUCAGUGAAUCUCUGGACCCCAUUCUUGAUAAGUGUCGAGAGAAAGGGUGGGACAUCUCCUACUUCUGCCCUCAAAACUAGAACUCCACUUGGAAUAGAUUGAAGAAUCAUCAUUUUGACAACAACCUUUUUUUGGGCAUGAAAUCCUUCCUUUUGCCCUCUAGACAAUUUAGAAGAAUAGAAACUCCAACUUUUUUAGAAAACAAGAAGGAAAAAUCAAGCUUUAACAAAGCCCAUAUGGAAUCUAUUGAAUUCACCCACAUUGCCAACACCAAAUCCAAUGCUCGUCAAAUGAGAACCAUCAACAUCAAAUGGCAACCACCCAAGAAAGCUAUGUUCAAACUUAACUCAGAUGAAUCAUGCCUUGAAAACCCUGGUAGAUGAGGGAUUGAAGGAAUGAUCAGAAAUUUUAGGGGGGGUGGGUAAUCGACUUUGCCAAGCAUUUCACCAACUCCACCAACUACCAAAUGAAACUUCUAGCCUUGAUUGAGGGCCUGAGAAUCGCAGAAGCUAAUCAUUUCCUUCCAUUAGAGUUUAACAUUGAUUCAAAGGAAAAUAUAUCUAUGUUAAAAGAAGACUACUUACUUUAUAAUGCUCUACUUGAUGACUGCAGGUCAAGAAUAAGAAGACUAGGAAGACCCUAGGUGCUGCACUGCUAUAGAGAACAAAAUUGUUUGGCAGAUGCAAUGAGAAAAAUGGGUGCAUCAUCAUUGCACCUUUAGAAGACUACUAUUUUUGAAGUUCCAUCAAUGUCUGUCAGAGCAGACAUAACUGAAGCUUAUUUUGAAAGAAGAAUUAAUGUUUGUAAUGUUAGUCUGACUGACAACAUCUCAAACUCUUUUAUUUUGGAACCGAACUAACUAGUCCGAUGGUUCUAACUAAUGCUACAUAAAACAUUUUCUUGUAGAAAGUAUUAAACACGCACGCAUAAAUUAAAAGGAGUAUUUGUUUUGGAAAGGAAAAAGUAUUCUUCACUUUUUGUACAUUUUUGUUAACAAAACAAAGGAAAAGAAAGUAAACAAAAGGUUUUCCACUAGAAUUCUCCAAAAUUCUUUUUACAUUAGACAUUAAUAAAGUUGGGAUGCGUUAAGUCAGACGGAAAAAUAUUUUCAAAAAAUAAAUUAUUUUAUUUUAUACUUUUUUUGUGUGUUUGCUAAAUAAAAAAUAGUCAAAAGAAUAAUUAUAUGAUCUAAAGAAACAUUGCGAGGUGGAGCAUAGGUGAGGGUGAAUGAGAGGAGGCGGGGAAAGGAGGAUCAACAUAAAAUCAAAUAAUAUAAAACUUAAUUUUUCUACCUGAAGAUAUUUUCCUAAUAUUUAGGAAAAAAAAUUCAAAAGAAAUUUUGUUCAACUUAACAUGCAAAAGUUGAGAAAUAUAAUUGAAAAAAAUAUACUCCUCCAUAACAAACACACCCUUAGCCCUGUUAAUUUUAGUUGUUUCAACGGAAUUAUUGUGCUCUUUAGUACUUAUACUAUUACUUUAUAUAGAUUCAGAAAAAAGAAUAAACUUUUUCCUGAAUAAGAAACUACCCCAGUGUUGGUACAUUUUGGAAUCAAAUUAUUUCCACCAUGAGUGAAAUAAAAAUAGCAAUACUCUCAAAUCACAAAUCAAAAAUUAAGAUCCAACUUUUGCAUUCUUUUUAAGGUAACAAGGGCGCACUGAAUUGCAAAGUUUUCAAAAGAAAAAAUUGAUGUUUUCGAAAAGAUUUGAUUUAUUUAUCUUGCAAAAAACAACUCAAGCAAGUAUUUUUUGGAAAACUACAAAAUUGAGCUUGCAAACUUCACCUAAGAAGGUAGAAACGCAUAUGCGUAAUUGUAUUAUACAACAACAACAUAUGUGUCACGAUUAAAGUAGCUACAAAACCUAAUCGUGAAGAAGAGAAUUGCAAAGAGGAAUAAAAGAAGAGAGAAAGAGGGGGGAAGAGAGAUAGGAAAAUAGAGUGAUAAUAUUCAUUGCCUCAGAUAAUCUAGUACAACAGCUAACAAAGCCAACCAAGAGUAUGACUAGGUGACACGUGUCCAGCUGAUAAUAAGAAAAUUACAAGGGACUGAACAACAAUUACUAGACACUACUAAAAACUUGAAGGAUUAUAAUGACAUAGAGAAAUUAUACUAAAUCUUAAACAAAACAGCUAAUUAACGGUCAUUUCAUGACAUUCCAUCCCCCUAAAAAUAAACCUUGUCCUUCAAAUAUCAAAGCUGGGAAAUUGAGACUUCAGAAAAUUAAAAUCUUCCCAGAUAGCCUCUUCAGGUAGCAAAUUUGCCCAUUGUACCAAAACUUGAACAUCCACUGUAUUGUUUUUCUUGACGAUUCUACGUUCCAAAAUAGCAAUAGGUUUAGCCAAAGGCUGUCCAUCACUGGAGCAAACUGGAGGUUCAAUCAUUGGGACCAGAUGAGCUCUUAUCUUCUUCUUUAGUUGGGAAAUGUGAAAAACUGGAUGGAUUUUUGUUGUUGCAGGUAGCUGCAAUUCAUAGGCCACAGGACUGAGUUUCUUGAUCACAUUGUAGGGACCAUAGUAUUUAGAAGUAAGCUUCAAGUUACUCCUUAAGGCCACUGAUACUUGCCUAUAAGGUUGUAGCUUAAUAUAGACCCAGUCCCCAACUUCUAGUUCCCUUUCUGUUCUCUUCCUGUCUGCAUAGAACUUCAUUCUAUGCUGAGCUUUUUCUAAAUUUUUCUUCAAAACCUUAGCCAUCACCUAUCUGUCAUGUAGCCAUUUAUCUACUGUAGCUACUUUAGACUGAGAGAUUAACUCAACUGAAAGUUGGGGAAGAUCAUACCCAUACAGAAUCUUGAAUGGAGACAUUUUUGUUGCGGUAUGGUAAUUGGAAUUAUACCAAUACUCAGCUAGUGCUAAUGUAACACCCCGUACUUAAUUACGUGCAUUAGCCAUUGUUAUAUGUGUUGGAGUAUAUGUAUUGAUCCUAAGUUAGGUAUAUAUGAGUUUAAGUAUGAGUAUUGAUUAUUUUGAGAUGGUUUCAAGUGUAUAGUUUGAUUAUAUGUGUAUAGGAAUCGACUUUAUUUAUACCGGAAUUUGCCCGUCGAUGGUUCCAUACGAAGGUUAUUGAAUAAGCUUUCCAACGAUAUAAAGAUUUCCAAAAACGGAUAAGUUUCGGAUAUAAUCGAGCACGUUCGAAACUAUAAAACAGUGGCCGGGAUGUUGUGAACAGUAAAUGUGCAGGAAAAUUUCCUGCACACAAACUACUGAGGCCUGCUAGUUUUUUGAGUCAACUUUGAACGAUCAUAACUCCCUCAAUAUAAUGAACUAGGAGAGCUACGACAUAUCAAAAGAAAGAUCUUUGCGUCUUCUUUCCAAUACAAUUGGUUUCAUCCAAAUCCAACAUCUGAGGAAGGAGUUAUACUCGUUUUACUUCAGCCUCUCAAAACAGAUUUUUAGGGUCAACUUCAAACGAUCAUAACUACUUGUACAGGACGAACUGGGUGGAUUAAUUUAUAUUAAAUGAAAGACCUUUGAAUUAUCUUUCUAACGAUACCAAUUUCACCCAAAUCCGAUAUCGGAGCAAAGAGUUAUGGCCGAUUUACUUUAGCCUAUCAAAACAGUCCACCAUGGACAGAUUCGGAUUUACUUAAAUUUUUAAGGGCAAUAUGGUCAUUUUCCAUCACCUCAUGGACGAAAAUUGGUCAUUAUAUACAUAUACUUAGCCUUAUAUCCACCAUUUAUCAUCCAAAUCAUUGAAGAAUAAGAAACCCUAGCCUAAGUUCAACUCCAAUUAUCUUGUGAUUCAACCGUAGAAAAUCCAAAUUGAUUCCGUAGUUGUGUUCACCGUCUCAAGGGCUUCGAGAAGCACCCCUUAUUUGUGCCAACAGGACUUCGAAAUCAAAAGGGCCAUUUUUUUUGGUAAGGAUGUAAAUUAUGUUGGUGUUAUUUAUAUGGAUAUGUAUAUAUAUAUAUAUAUGCAUGUGAGCAUAAGAAGUAUGUUAUUUGAUUGUUGUUGAAAGAUGAUUGGAAAUGAUGUUGGAUUAUUCUUGUGCAUGGUUGGAUUAUGUUAAAUUGUGAAGGAAUUUGGGGUGAUGAUGUGGUAUUGAUGAUGUGGUAUUGAGAUGAUGAUUAUAUACAUAUACACACAUAAACCUAUUGUUCAAGUUGGUUUUUGGAAUGUUUUGCAAAUAUUGGUAGUAUGGAAUUAUGGAAGAGAAUUGUGGUGUUGGGUUGCUAAUACUAGAUGCCAAACAUUUCAUUGUAGAUAAGUGAUUUGUAAAGGCGGGAAGUUGUGUUGAAUUGGUAUCUGAAUCUACAACGAGGUAUGUAAAGCAUACUCUAACAAUGUUCUUUGGCAUGAAAACACCAAUGUUCCAUCAAGUAAGAUUCCGAGGUUGUCCAAAAACAUGUAUUGUUCUACGUUACCAACGAAGUUGUUUCCAUCCUAUAAAGUGUCAAAAUGUUCAUUGAUAUACCAAAAGGCUCUUAUUUCAUUGUUGUGAUAUUGAUGAUUCUGAAACAUAUUGUUGAUGUACCAAUGAGUCCUUAUUACAUCGUUAUUGUAUAGAAGGUCUAUUACUUGGUUCCUAUUGAUGUAUCAUUGUUUCAAGGUAUCAAAAAUGUGGUGACGACCGAAAUAACAAUCUCAAAGAUUAAUUGAACUAAGUGAUGAAAGUUCUCUCUUAUCGGGUGGUAUCCCAGGGGCAUAAGCCUAGCAUGGGUCGAUCCCUAUUUCAUGUGUUUAUGGGUGGUAUCCCAGGGGCAUAAGCCUAGCAUGGGUCGAUCCCAGUUGAUAUGUACUGGAGGCAUCCUAAUGGUCACAGUACAGUACAGUAAUGAUUACAAAGACGAUAAGAACGAAGGUAAAGUGAUUGAAUAAAUACAAUGUACAGGUUGUCACAAGUUCUAGUAAGUGUGGUCCACUCCUAUUACGACUUAUUCACUUGUUUCUGAUUUCUAUUGAGCUCCUAUAUCAUAUGUGAUUAUUUACAGCUUUACAUACUCAGUACAUAUUUCGUACUGACGUCCCUCACGGGGGACCUGCAUUUCAUGCUGCAGGCACAGGUACCUCAACUCAUACACCGCACAAGUAGGAGCCAGGUCAUACAGCUAUUGUUGGUGAGCUCCAGUUUGCUUCGGAGCUUUCCGAGUCGGUUCCUUAUGUUUUGUUAUUGUACAUGAGUCACGUGUGGGCGGGGGUUUGUCCCGACCCUAGUUAUGUCAUGUAUAUCCUAGAGGCUUUGUAGACAUAAGGAAGGGUAAAGUCAUGGAAGUUUAUAUAGUAACGUUAUAUUUGUAUAUGUGGUGGCCCCGACGGCCAAGUAUUAUAUAUAUAUAUUUGUGCGUGUUGUGCUGAUACAGGUAAUUAGACCUUUCUAUAUGCAACGAAGUGCUGUCCAAUUUUUUUGGUGACAUGUAAGUGAAAGUACAGGUAUUUGAACGGGUUCUCCCGGGCCUUCUCGGCUUCGGGUGCCAGUCCGGCCCGAUGGGAUUUUGGGGCGUGACACAAGUGAUCAAAAAUCCACUAUGGUAUGAUGACACAUUUUUUAAAGACAAAACUCUCUUCUUAAAAGAUGAUAGUUUGUCAAUUGGAGGGGUUAGUGGUCCAAAAGAAGGGGGUGUAUGUUCUCCAAUGACCUAUUCAUUCUUGUGUGAACCCAUGCUUGAUCAAGGGCUUAAUGCUUGUAGAUCAAAGGGUGAUUCUAUAUGUGGGCACACCUUAAAUAAACUUUAUUUAAGUAACACCUUUCUAUACCACUUUUUUUGCAUAUGAUGAUACUCUUUCCUUUGAGUGGAGUAUGUUAUGUGAGAGUAGAGUGUCAAUGGGGCAAAUAGGUGUAUGAUUUUACCCAUGUUUAUGGAUUGCCUUUUCCUUUUGUCCUGGUAAUGAUUUGAAUAGUGGCGUUUGUGAUAAAAUACUUGGUUCAAAUGACAAGAAAGUUGUGGGUGAGGUUGUUGGCUUGCGUGGUGGUAAGUAUAGUAGUAACAUAUUUUUUCUCUCAUAUGAUUAUUGCUUGGUGUUAUUACUUGAUCUUAUAUGUUUAAUAAGAUAUAUUUGCCAAAUUAUGUAGAGAAUACCUUCGUAUUUAAUCUCCAAUGAUGAAUUAGGAGUAAUUCUAUUCUUUAAGAUAGUUAGUGCAUUGGAUAGAGUAUUGACUUGGAAUGACCUCAUUUAUGACAUGAAACAUAGUUAUAUGGGUUAUCAUGUGUUACAUGACUUAAAGGGAGAUUUUUUUUUCUAAAUUUAGAACCAUUGAGGACUUGUAUCAGUGGUUGCCUAAACACCAUGGUUCUUUUGAUUUGCCCCUUUGUCAAUGUUUCCUAUGUAGCCAAGUAUAUCAAUUUUUGUUGGGUGACAAACCAUUUAUGACUCAUUUUUUUGCUUGGUUAUAUGUUAAAUGUGUACACCCUUGGCAUGGCCAUAAAUUUGUUAUUGAUAAUCCUUGUGUUAAACCUCAUGCUACGAUGAUAUGUUUGUUGUUUUUCCUUCUCAUUUUUUAAAAAAGUUUGGAUUCGUGGAUGAAUUCUUUUGAUGAAGUGGAUCAUGAUUAGCUUGGAACAUAUUAGGAGGGUCUUCCAUGUAUGGAUGAUAUCUUGGAGUUUGAAGGAAGGCAUGAAGAAAUAGAUACAUAAGGUCAUUGGCAAUCAAGAUGCCAUUUGGCCAAUUAAGAAGGUCCCUUGUGAGUUAUUUGUAAAAUGGUCACAUUAGGGAGAUUUUUGUAAUAGACUUUUUCUGUAAAGGCACUGACUAUAAAUAGUUUCUUUAUCCAUUUUCAUCACUUAGAUUUGGAAAAGUGAAUUGUCUUGAAUAGAAUUGAUAUUUAGUUAUUCGAUAUUAGGGCAGUAAUUGGGUUCAAUUUCAAUUGUUAGCUUAGAUUGAGUGAUUAGGGUGUCUUUCUAAAUUGUUUGUGUUAUCUUCUUCACUUGAUUUAUCAUUAAGUUAUCAUAUUAUGGAUUCAAUCUGGUUUCUCGUCCAUUUGAUUAAGUUCUCUAUUUUUCUUAGCUUAAUUAUUAUUUGAUUAAGUCUUUCUUUCAGCACUUCUAUAAUACCCCAUAUUAUUAUUAGGUCAGUUCAUCUUCUAGUUGUAUGCAUAAGGGGCUUAAGGCCUAAAAAUUUCACUAAGUGUUGGGGAAUUAGUCAUUUAUAAGUCCUCUUAACUUCGAGGAUUUUUCGAUUGGUCUUCCCGAUCCUAAGGUGUUGGUUUUUGAGUUAAUUCAUAUUCAGGGAUGUAAGGAGCAUGUCUUAGAGAAGUUUCAAAUUUUUUGAAUGAGGUUUCGGUCAUGUUUGGAUCACAAAUCCAGAAAGUCACUGCGAUACGGCUGCGUCGCUUUAAUAUUUCCAUUUGCAUGCUCACUGCGUUGCGGUAAGGGAAAUGGAUGACUUCAAUUAGACCGCGUUGCGGUAAGUAUGUUAUGCCCAGUUAUGAAUUUAAUUGCCUGAGGGGAAAUUGUGUCUGUUCCCCUCAACCCAAAUCAUGCAUAACACGAAUUGAGACAUCAUUUAGAGCAUUAUUUGCCCUUCUUCUCUAAAUCCAUCUCAAGAAAACCCUUCCCACUUUCUCAAAAUCACCAAUUUCAAUUUUUUUCUCCCUAAAAAACCAAGGAACUCAAGCUUCAAAUUCAAGAAACCCUCAAGAAAUCUUCAAGAAAUCAUCUAUUAAGGUAUGUGGAUGUUCAUUCAUGGGUUUCUUUCCUAGGCCAUUAUCCUCUUAUUCUACAGCUAGUGCCCCACCACAGUUCCAAGGGUUCAGAGGAAAUCAAUUUGGGCACAGAAGUGAGAGUCAGAGUUCGCGGACAGUGGGGUACCAAGGUCAAGGGAAUAUGAGCCAAUCAAGACCUCCUCGAGAGCCAUGCAAUAAAUGUGGAAGGUAUCAUUUGGGCGCAUGUCGGCUGGGGACCAAUGUUUGCUUUUGGUGCGGUAUGUCGGGGCAUAUGAUGAGGGAAUGCCCACGAAGGGACAUAGGGGGUAUGGCACGACCUACGGGGUCAUUUGUUGCAUCAUCAUCAUCGAUGCCUUAUUCAGGAAGGGGUGCACAGCCAAUGGGUCGUGUUAGAGGUGAUAGAGGAGCCACGAGUUCUAGCGGGGCUCAAAAUCGUACGUAUGCUCUAGCAGAUCGACAGAAUUUAGAGGCUUCUCCAGAUGUGGUUACGGGUAUGUUGGCUAUAUUUUCAUUCAAUUUAUAUGCCUUAAUUGAUCCCGGUUCUACAUUAUCUUAUGUUACUCCAUUGGUUGCUGGAAAGUUCGAAAGAAUACCCGAACUGUUAGUUAAGCCAUUUGAAGUGUCCACACCGGUCGGGGAAUCUAUUAUAGCUAGAAGGGUUUAUCGAAACUGCAUAGUAACUGUUUGUGGUCGUGAUACGAUGGCUGAUCUUGUGGAGUUAGAAAUGGUAGAUUUUGAUGUUAUAAUGGGUAUGGACUGGUUGGCGUCUUGUUAUGCCACAAUUGAUUGCUGCACGAAAAAGGUAUAUUUCCAUUUUCCAAAUGAAUCAGUCCUUGAAUGGAAAGGUGAAAUUAGCGUGCCAAGAGGUAGAUUUAUUUCUUAUUUUAAGGCGAGAAGAAUGAUUUCCAAGGGAUAUAUAUAUCAUUUAGUUAGAGUAAGGGAUACAGAAGCGGAGCCACCAACUCUUCACGCUGUUCCGGUGGUAAAUGAAUUUUCUGAUGUAUUUCCUGAAGAUCUUCCAGGUUUGCCUCCUGAACGAGAAGUAGAGUUUGGUAUUGAUGUAAUACCAGGCACCCAACCAAUCUCCAUUCCUCCGUAUAGAAUGGCCCCAGCAGAAUUACGAGAAUUGAAAGAGCAAUUGAAAGAUUUGCUAGAAAAGGGGUUCAUUAGGCCUAGUAUUUCCCCUUGGGGAGCACCAGUGUUAUUUGUACGCAAAAAGGAUGGCUCGCUGAGGAUGUGUAUUGAUUAUCGGCAAUUGAAUAAGGUGACUAUUAAGAAUAAAUAUCCUCUCCCAAGAAUUGAUGAUUUAUUUGAUCAGUUACAGGGCGCCAAGUGCUUUUCUAAGAUUGAUUUGAGGUCAGGUUACCACCAAGUGAGGGUCAAAGAAAAAGAUAUACCCAAAACAGCUUUCCGAACAAGGUAUGGUCAUUAUGAGUUUCUAGUUAUGUCAUUUGGGCUAACAAAUGCACCCGCAGCUUUUAUGGAUUUGAUGAAUAGGGUUUUUAAGCCAUUCCUGGAUGUAUUUGUGAUAGUUUUUAUAGAUGAUAUUCUAGUUUAUUCUAGAUCAGAAGAGGACCAUGCCAAUCACUUACGACAGGCAUUGCAGACUCUUCGUGAUUGUAAGCUUUAUGCAAAGUUCUCUAAAUGUGAGUUUUGGUUAAAGUCGGUGGCAUUUUUGGGUCAUAUUGUAUCUAGUGAAGGGAUAAAGGUUGAUGCUCAAAAGAUAGAGGCUGUGAAGAACUGGCCAAGGCCCACAACGCCUACGGAGAUUCGUAGUUUUCUUGGGUUGGCCGGUUAUUAUAGAAGGUUUGUCAAAGACUUUUCUUCCAUUUCAGCACCCUUAACCAAGCUAACCCAUAAAGCAUCCAAAUUCCAAUGGAAUGAUGCCUGUGAGAAGAGUUUUCAAGAUUUAAAGAACAAGUUGAUUUCUACACCCGUGUUGGUACUACCAGAAGGCACCGAAGGGUAUACAGUGUAUUGUGAUGCUUCCAGAAUUGGUUUAGGAUGUGUAUUGAUGCAGCAUGGUAAGGUAAUAGCAUAUGCUUCUAGACAAUUACGGCCACAUGAGAAAAAUUAUCCUACACACGAUCUUGAGCUGGCAGCGGUUAUUUUUGCUUUAAAGAUAUGGCGCCACUACUUAUAUGGGGUUCACGUUGAUAUAUAUACUGACCAUAAGAGCUUGCAAUAUAUUUUUAAUCAGAAGGAUCUAAAUUUAAGGCAGCGGAGAUGGCUUGAACUAUUAAAGGACUAUGAUGUUGAUAUCUUGUACCAUCCAGGGAAAGCAAAUGUGGUAGCUGAUGCGUUAAGUCGUAAGGCUAUGAUGGCGCCUAUAGAAAGGCAAGGGAUGGUUAAAGAUCUUCACCAGUUAGCUAGUUUGGGAGUUCGCCUUCUUGAAACUCCGAAUAAAGAGCUUAUCGUACAUAAUGCUGCGGAAUCUUCAUUAGUAGCUGAAGUGAAAGAGAAGCAAUAUGCAGAUCCUAUUUUAUUACAUCUUAAGGAGAACGUUCAGAGUGGUGCGACCAAGGCAUUUGAGCUUACGCGAGAAGGAGUACUUCAGUGCCAAAACCGAUUGUGUGUGCCGGAUAUAGACGGGCUAAGAAAGAAGAUUAUGACAGAGGCACAUUUUUCAAGGUAUUCCAUUCAUCCAGGAUCAACCAAAAUGUAUCAAGAUUUGAAAGAUAUGUAUUGGUGGAAUGACAUGAAGAAGAGCAUUGCAGAAUUUGUAGCUGAAUGUCCAAAUUGUCAAAGAGUUAAAGUUGAGCACCAAAAACCCGGAGGCUAUAUGCAAUGCAUAGAUCUUCCAAUUUGGAAGUGGGACAUGAUCAACAUGGAUUUUGUUACAGGUUUGCCUCGUACAGCUCGAAAAUUUGAUUCUAUAUGGGUGAUUGUGGAUAGGCUUACUAAAUCCGCACAUUUCUUACCCGUUAAGACCACUUACACAGUUGAAGAAUAUUCGAAGCUGUAUGUUAAAGAAAUAGUCCGAUUACAUGGAGUGCCAACUUCUAUUAUAUCGGAUCGGGGAACUCAAUUUACUGCAAACUUUUGGAAGUCUUUCCAACGGGGUUUGGGAACACAAGUGAAUCUGAGUACAGCUUUUCACCCUCAGACGGAUGGACAAGCAGAGCGCACCAUUCAAACACUUGAAGAUAUGCUACGAGCAUGUGUUAUAGAUUUUAAAGGCAGCUGGGAUGAUCAUUUACCUCUUAUUGAGUUUGCCUACAAUAAUAGCUAUCAUUCAAGUAUCAAAAUGGCACCAUAUGAAGCUUUAUAUGGGAGAAAGUGUAGAUCACCAAUAGGAUGGUUCGAAGCGGGUGAAACUCUUAUGUUCGGACCGGAUCUUGUGUAUCAAGCCAUAGAAAAAGUCAAGGUGAUACAACAACGGCUAAAAACAGCCCAAAGUCGUCAUAAAUCAUAUGCAGAUAUUCGGAGAAGAGGGCUGGAAUUCUCUAUUGGAGAUUGGGUAUUUUUAAAGGUAUCACCAAUGAAAGGGGUUAUGAGAUUUGGUAAAAAAGGGAAACUAAGCCCACGUUACAUAGGGCCAUAUAAGAUUACCAAGAGGGUCGGACAAGUUGCAUAUGAAUUAGAGCUACCCCAGGAACUUUCAAUGGUUCAUCCAGUGUUUCAUGUGUCAAUGCUUCGAAAAUGCAUAGGUGACCCCUCUCGUAUCACUCCUAUAGAAGAUGUACAGGUCACAGAGGAUCUUACUUAUGAAGAGGUACCGGUUGCUAUUCUAGAUCGCCAAGUUAAAAAGUUAAGGAACAAAGAAAUGGCAUCAGUAAAGGUACUUUGGAGAAAUCAACAAAGGGAAGAGAUUACAUGGGAAGCUGAGGAAGCAAUGAAAUCUAAGUACCCUCAUUUGUUCAAAGAUGAAGAGGAAGUUCAAGAAACGGAGUUAGAACAUUAACAAGUAAGUUUUUGUUUAUAUAUGCAUAGUAUUUAUGUGAUGAUGUGAAUGUUAAUGGUGGACUUGAACUUGUUUCGGCUAAAUAACUACAUUCACAUUCGAGGACGAAUGUCCUUAAGGGGGGAAGGAUGUAACACCCCGUACUUAAUUACGUGCAUUAGUCAUUGUUAUAUGUGUUGGGGUAUAUGUAUUGAUCCUAAGUUAGGUAUAUAUGAGUUUAAGUAUGAGUAUUGAUUAUUUUGAGAUGGUUUCAAGUGUAUAGUUUGAUUAUAGGUGUAUAGGAAUCGACUUUAUUUAUAUCGGAAUUUUCCCGUCGAUGGUUCCAUACGAAGGUUAUUGAAUAAGCUUUCCAACGAUAUAAAGAUUUCCAAAAACGGAUAAGUUUCGGAUAUAAGCGAGCUCGUUCGAAACUUUAAAACGGUGGCCGGGAUGUGAACAGUAAAAUGUGCAGGAAACUACUGAGGCCUGCCAGUUUUUUGGGUCAACUUUGAACGAUCAUAACUCCCUCAAUAUAAUGAACUGGUUGAGCUACCAUAUAUCAAAAGAAAGAUCUUUGAGUCUUCUUUCCAAUGAAAUUGGUUUCAUCCAAAUCCAACAUCUGAGUAAGGAGUUAUACUCGUUUUACUUCAGCCUCUCAAAACAGAUUUUUAGGGUCAACUUCAAACGAUCAUAACUACUUGUACAGGACGAACUGGGUGGAUUAAUUUAUAUUAAAUGAAAGACCUUUGAAUUAUCUUUCUAACGAUACCAAUUUCACCCAAAUCCGAUAUCGGAGCAAAGAGUUAUGGCCGAUUUACUUUAGCCUAUCAAAACAGUCCACCAUGGACAGAUUCGGAUUUACUUAAAUUUUUAAGGGCAAUAUGGUCAUUUUCCAUCACCUCAUGGACGAAAAUUGGUCAUUAUAUACAUAUACUUAGCCUUAUAUCCACCAUUUAUCAUCCAAAUCAUUGAAGAAUAAGAAACCCUAGCCUAAGUUCAACUCCAAUUAUCUUGUGAUUCAACCGUAGAAAAUCCAAAUUGAUUCCGUAGUUGUGUUCACCGUCUCAAGGGCUUCGAGAAGCACCCCUUAUUUGUGCCAACAGGACUUCGAAAUCAAAAGGGCCAUUUUUUUGGUAAGGAUGUAAAUUAUGUUGGUGUUAUUUAUAUGGAUAUGUAUAUAUAUAUAUAUAUGCAUGUGAGCAUAAGAAGUAUGUUAUUUGAUUGUUGUUGAAAGAUGAUUGGAAAUGAUGUUGGAUUAUUCUUGUGCAUGGUUGGAUUAUGUUAAAUUGUGAAGGAAUUUGGGGUGAUGAUGUGGUAUUGAUGAUGUGGUAUUGAAAUGAUGAUUAUAUAUAUAUACACACAUAAACCUAUUGUUCAAGUUGGUUUUUGGAAUGUUUUGCAAAUAUUGGUAGUAUGGAAUUAUGGAAGAGAAUUGUGGUGUUGGGUUGCUAAUACUAGAUGCCAAACAUUUCAUUGUAGAUAAGUGAUUUGUAAAGGCGGGAAGUUGUGUUGAAUUGGUAUCCGAAUCUACAACGAGGUAUGUAAAGCAUACUCUAACAAUGUUCUUUGGCAUGAAAACACCAAUGUUCCAUCAAGUAAGAUUCCGAGGUUGUCCAAAAACAUGUAUUGUUCUACGUUACCAACGAAGUUGUUUCCAUUCUAUAAAGUGUCAAAAUGUUUCAUUGAUAUACCAAAAGGCUCUUAUUUCAUUGUUGUGAUAUUGAUGAUUCUGAAACACAUUGUUGAUGUACCAAUGAGUCUUUAUUACAUCGUUAUUGUAUAGAAGGUCUAUUACUUGGUUCCUAUUGAUGUAUCAUUGUUUCAAAGUAUCAAAAAUGUGGUGGCGACCGAAAUAACAAUCUCAAAGAUUAAUUGAACUAAGUGAUGGAAGUUCUCUCUUAUCGGGUGGUAUCCCAGGGGCAUAAGCCUAGCAUGGGUCGAUCCCUAUUUAUGUGUUUAUGGGUGGUAUCCCAGGGGCAUAAGCCUAGCAUGGGUCGAUCCCAGUUGAUAUGUACUGGAGGCAUCCUAAUGGUCACAGUACAGUACAGUAAUGAUUACAAAGACGAUAAGAACGAAGGUAAAGUGAUUGAAUAAAUACAAUGUACAGGUUGUCACAAGUUCUAGUAAGUGUGGUCCACUCCUAUUACGACUUAUUCACUUGUUUCUGAUUUCUAUUGAGCUCCUAUAUCAUAUGUGAUUAUUUACAGCUUUACAUACUCAGUACAUAUUUCGUACUGACGUCCCUCACGGGGGACCUGCAUUUCAUGCUGCAGGCACAGGUACCUCAGCUCAUACACCGCACAAGUAGGAGCCAGGUCAUACAGCUAUUGUUGGUGAGCUCCAGUUUGCUUCGGAGCUUUCCGAGUCGGUUCCUUAUGUUUUGUUAUUGUACAUGAGUCAUGUGUGGGCGGGGGUUUGUCCCGACCCUAGUUAUGUCAUGUAUAUCCUAGAGGCUUUGUAGACAUAAGGAAGGGUAAAGUCAUGGAAGUUUAUAUAGUGAUGUUAUAUCUGUAUAUGUGGUGGCCCCGACGGCCAAGUAUUAUAUAUAUAUAUAUAUUUGCGCGUGUUGUGCUGAUACAGGUAAUUAGAUCCUUCUAUAUGCAACGAAGUGCUGUCCAAUUUUUGGUGACAUGUAAGUGAAAGUACAGGUAUUUGAACGGGUUCUCCCGGGCCUUCUCGGCUUCGGGUGCCAGUCCGGCCCCGAUGGGAUUUUGGGGCGUGACAGCUAACCACUUACUUCAUUCAUUUGGCUUGUGACCACACAUACACCUUAUAUAGUUUUCCAGACACUUGUUGACCCUCCCAGUCUGUCCAUCAGUCUGAGGGUGGUAUGCUGAGCUAAACUUGAGUUCAGUACCCAGGCCUUUGAACAAUUCCUUCCAAAACAAACUAAGGAAAAUCUUAUCUCUAUCACUCACUAUUGUAGUAGGCAACCCAUGCAACUUAUACACAUUUGUCAUGAAUAGUUUGGCUACUUGGACAGCAUUGAAAGGAUGAGUUAGUGACAAGAAGUGUGCAUAUUUACUAAAUCGAUCCACAAUGACAAAGAUUGUGUCCUUUGCUUCUGAAUUGGGCAAACCUUCAUUAAAAUCCAUAGUGAUGUGCUCCCAGAGUCUUAAUGGUAUGGAAAGAGGUUGUAGUAAACCUGGGUAUGCAAGUUGUUCAUCCUUACUUCUUUGACAUAUAUCACAUUCUAAUAUAACCUUCUGCACAUCUUUUAUCAUAGAAGGCCAGUAAAAAAUAAGUUUCAUCCUUUGAAGAGAAGAUGAAACAUUAGAGUGCCCCCCUAAACCGGAGUCAUGCACUUGUUGCGCCAGUUGUUGCCUCGGUCCAUUGCCAGUUCUUACCCAAAUUUUUCCCUUGAACCUCGGCAGACCAUUAUGUAUGGCAAUAUUGUUCAUAAUAGUAGGAUCCACAUGGGUUUGGGCUAGUAAUUGAGCAACUUCCUGGUCACCUUCAUAGCUGCUCAAGAUCUCCUCCAUCCACUUAGGUUGCACUUGACUCAAAGUAUUGCAUUCAGCUUCAGUGUAAGCUUUGGACAGUGCAUCAGCAACAGUAUUCUUUACCCCUUUUUUAUAGUGUAUUUCAUAACUUAAUCCCAUUAGCUUAGUUAGACCUUUGUGCUGCAAUGAAGUUGAGAUUUUCUGGUCCUGCAAAAACUUAAGGCUGAAAUGGUCAAUUUUAAUAAUAAAAUGGUGAGGGUGGAGGUAGUGUCUCCAUCUCUCUACUGCCCAAAGCAAGGCAAUCAACUUUUUUUCAUAAGUUGAUAAGCAUUGGUUCUUGUUCCUAAGUACUUGGCUGAGAUAAGCAAUUGGUUGCUUUUCUUGCAUAAGGACAACCCCAAUUCCAGUACCACAUGCAUCCACCUCCACAAUAAAGGGUUUCUCAAAGUCCGAUAAAACCAAAACAGGAACAGUGGUCAUGGCAGUCUUCAGGUUUUGAAAUGCUUUAGAAGCUUCUUCGUUCCACGCAAAGGCUCUCUUCUUGAGUAUGGAUGUUAAAGGUUUGCUGAUCACUGCAUAACCUUUAACAAACUUCCUGUAAUACCCAGUAAGUCCUAGGAAGCCCCUAAGUUCCUUGAUCGUUCUACGUUCAGGCCACUCAACCAUUGCUGAAAUCUUGUUUGGAUCAGUUCUUACCCCUUCAACAGAGAUAAUAUGCCCCAGGUAUUCUACUUGUUUUUGUGCAAAUUCACACUUUGAUCUUUUAGAAAACAAUUGGUGCUCUUUUAGUAAUUGUAAGACAACCUGCAAAUGCUUCAAGUGAUCCUUUAAUGAUGCAAUGUAAAUUAAAAUGUCAUAAAAAAGACUAAUAUGAACUUCCUGAUGUGUGGCUCAAAUACUUGAUACAUUAAAGAUUGAAAAGUAGCAGGAGUAUUUGUAAGGCCAAAGGGCAUAACCAUGAAUUUCCAUAGACCAUGAUGUGUUCUAAAUGUUGUCUUUUGUUCAUCCUCCUCUUUCAUCCUCACUUGGUGAUAUCCUGACCUAAGGUCUACCUUAGAGAACACCUUAGAUCCUUUUAACUCAUCCAACAGAUCCUCUACCAUGGGAAUUGGAUACUUGUUUUUUAUUGUUAAUGAAUUCAGUCUCCUAUAAUCUACACAUAAUCUCCAAGUACAAUUUUUAUUCUUCACUAGUAAUGCAGGGGAUGCAAAACAAGAAUGGCUUGGCACCACGGUUUGAGAAAUCAACAUAUCAUUAAUAAUUUUCUCAAUUGCAUUCUUUUGGUCAAAUGAGUACCUAUAUGGUCUUAAGCUGAAAGACUGAGCUCCACCUUGUAAUGGAAUUAAGUGGUCACAAGUUCUGUGGGGUGGAAAUUCCUGAGGUUCCUCAAACACCUUCUGGAAUGAUUGAAGUAGAGAAUGAACUUCCUGUGGGCAAUUCUUGUGCAUUGUUCCUUCUUGGCUGGACUCCAAGGUGCACACAACUGAAACAUCACCAAAUUUCUGCUUGUUCAAUAGUUUAAGUAAUUUCUCCCCUUCAGUAGGUAAUACUUUGUGUUCCUCGUGAAACCCAAACAAUGUGACCAAUCUUUCUUCCUUGAAAAAUGACAAACUAUGGGGCCUAGUAUUGAUCACCACUGGUGCAAAAGAAUCCACCCAAUCCAUCCCUAACACCAUAUCAAAACUACCAACCUUCAUAAGUCGUAUGUCACCUUGGAAGGACUCCUCUUGCAUCUGCCACUUGAAAUUAGGGCAAUAACUAUCCGUGUACAUGACUUGCCCAUUAGCUACUGUCACUUUCAGCUUAGCAUAACAAGGUUGUAUGGGUAAUUUCAAAAUUUUGAUAACCUGUGAACUUACAAAACUAUGGGUUGAUCCACUAUCAAUCAAGAUCAUGAGAGGUACUUUCCUAGCAUACCCUAAAAUCUUGAUAGUGGAGGCUGAACUAGUUAAUCCAACAGCCACACACAACGACAAUUCCCCUUCUUCCUCUACCACUGGUAACCUUCAGUAGAAGGUUCAACCUUAUCACUACUAUUUUCUCCUUCAUCUAGCAUCAUAUUUUGUGCCUCAAUUCCUGUCUCAUUACCCUCCCAAGUAAUGGCAUGAAUAGUCUUAGGUUUACAAACAUGACCAGGAAAACAAGGGUCAUGACACCUGAAACACAAAUUUUGUUCCUUUAGAUUUUCAGUAAUGGGUUUUGGUUUGAAGGGAACUCUAGUUUUCGGGGCCAGAGUUCUGUUGUUUUGGUAUUGAUUAGGGGCAAAAGUUUUGUGGAACGGGGAUGGAUUAGAAGUUCCCUGGAAAGGAACAGGGGUUUUGGAAAGGUUAAUUUGGUGUUGCGAAUUUUGGGAAGUUCUUAGGUUAAUGGCUUUUUGAAGGGCUUUAAAAGAAGUUUCAUAAGACUUGGCUGACUCAUAUGCAACUAUGGUAGUAGUAGGAUUACUUAGCCCCAUCAAAGGUUUCAAUUCAGGUUUCAAACCACUCACAUAACUAGCAAUUAAGUGAGUUUCAUUCAACAAUAGAUUCAGCAACAACAUAUAAGUUUUCAAUUCCUCAAACUUCUCGUGAUAACUAUCAACACUACCAGUUUGCUUAUGGUUAUUAAACUCAUCUACAAUAUCCAAUGGUCUCACAUUCCCAAAUUGCCUACAGACUUCAUUACAGAAAAACAACCAGUUGGUUUCACGAUUCUCUAAAACAUGACUAUCAAACCAAACAUCGGCCUGAUCCUUUAUAUGUACUGCAACGUAACACAUCUUUUCUGCCUCCGGGAUUUGGUAUAUUUCAAAAAACUGCUCAUAUUUGCGAAUCCAACCCUUGGGGUUAAAGCCUGUGAAUUCAGGAAAAUUAAUCUUAGCUUUAAAGGGUUUGUUCGGCAUUUCUGGAAGGUUAUUGUUCGAUAAUGGAAGUAAUGGAGAGUUAACGGGUAUUUGGUUGUUAACAGACAUAGGAAUAGUAGUAGGAAUUGGUAGUGUUUUGAGUAAGGGAACAGUAGAAGUGAUCAAGGAAGAAGAAAGAGUGGGGUUUUGAAGCAGGGGAUUGCCCUAAGAAGAAAACAUGGGAGGAAAUGUGAAACCUCUCCCCACAGGGUAACUACUAGGGGUCGAUUGGGGGGUUAUUUGAGCUUGAGAGCUUGAAGACUGGCCUGACUCAUGAAUUUGCAACGAACCUUGAAGUCUCGAAGCCAUCGAACUUGGGGAGUGAGGAAUCUGAGCUGCAACCUCAGCUCGUUUAAAAGUAUCAAGUUUUGAGAUAAUCAUUUCCAGUCGCUGGUUCAUUGCUACAGUCUCCUUAAGCUGAGUGGAGAACUGAUUUUGAGAGGAUUCCAAGGCUUCGAACCUCUUUGUAUUUUUCGUAGCCAUCGAAUAGAGUUGGGUUUCGACCUUUUUUAUGCCUUCUUCGAGGCCCUUAAAUUUAUCCGCCAUGAAAUUGCCACGAGAACCUAACGUCUCUGAUACCAAUGUCACGAUUACAGUAGUUACAAAACCUAAUCGCGAAGAAGAGAAUUGCAAAGAGGAAUAAAAGAAGAGAGAAAGAGGGAAGAAAGAGAGAUAGGUAAAUAGAGUGAUAAUAUUCAUUGCCUCAGAUAAUCCAGUACAAUAGCUAAUAAAGCCAACCAAGAGUAUGACUAGGUGACACGUGUCCAGCUGAUAAUAAGACAGCAAUUACUAGACACUACUAAAAACUUGAAGGAUUAUAAUGACAUAGAAAAAUUAUACUAAAUCUUAAACAGCUAAUUAACGGUCAUUUCAUGACAAUAUGAAACCCCACACGUGAAGUUUGAAAAGGGUGGAGUGUAUGAAACCUUUGUCUUACCUUAUGAGGGUAGAAAGGU